UCGAUGCUCCGGCGCCGACGACGGCGGCGGAAUGGAUCAUCGAUCGACGAUCAUCAGGUCGUCGUUUCGGUUUAGCUCACCCUGGAGCAGUCGGUGGAGGUGCUGAUGGUGUAGGGGAUGCUGACGCCGCACUUGGAGGGGAUGCUGGCGGCCUUGCCGACGUUGAGGCCGCGGAUGCCACGGGCGGCGUUCUUGAGGCAGUUGCAGGCGGCGCGCCUGUCGGCGGUGGUGCGGGCGGCGGAGUUGAGGCUCCUGACGCCGCUGCAGCAGCCUGCGGAGGGUCCAGAGCCCUGGCCGCGGGCGUAGGACAGGCAGGGCCCGAUGGCGGAGCUCACCUGACCGCAUGUCACGGCGGCCUCCGAGGUCGUCGCCGCCAGCACCACCGCCGCCACGACGGCGAUCGCCACAGCAAGCUUCAUGCUGCGAGCCAUGUCGAUCUCGAUCGACCUCCUGUGAUAUAUGUGCUGAUGCUCGUAGGUGACUGAUAGCUUUUGGGAUGCAGUGAGUGAGCAAGUGCUAGCUGGUGAGGAGAUUGCAAUGGAAUGUUGCUCCUUAAAUAGGCAGGCUUUGUGAUCGAUGUGUGAGCUAGCUAGCGAUUGCUGAUGAGUGAUGUGCAUGCAUGGGAUGGGUGUGCAUGCUGUUUCAGUCGGUGGAUGCAUGCAUAUGCGUAUAUGUCCAUGGAUCGAUGGUAUCUCUCGCCAUGCAUCGAAGUUAACUGCUGGGGAGGAGGUGGUUGGGUGUUGAGGGAGGAGGGCAGAUGCUUGUUUAGUUGUUGUAAUACCCGAUUUUAAGGACAAAACCAGAUAUGCACCAUAUGUGAGUUUUAAAAGCCAAAUCUCACAUAUAGCUACAAAUAAGGGGUAAUAUCAAAAGACAAUGCAAAAAUUAUAUAACGUACAUAAUAUAAAAGAGAUAACCUUUGAUAGCAAACAACGGAUAGACAACUCCAAACUCCGGGUAUUAACUUCUCUCUACAGGAUCCAACUGACUGGUUGAUCACAAGCCUAAACUUCUCCUGAGGUUUGGGGGAAAUAGCAAGAGUGAGUCCAUGUCAAACUCCACAAGUAUAGCAACUAGAUUGUAUAGCUCCCACAAUCUCAUGAUCAAUGUGACAUAAAUAAUGUAAAGCAUUAAACAAUAAGCAAUGAGCAUAUUUAACACACAAGAUUCAUCACCCUUAAUGUAGAUGUCCCCAAGGCCGUUCCUGACCGUGAGCUCGGCUAGUAUACUAGUUUUAACACUCUGCAGAGGUUGCACAUCUUUACCCAUGAGUCAUGAUUUACCCUUUCGCCCGAGGUGAUCAGCCUCUUAACCCACUUCCAAGGAAGGUCGGCAGGGAUCACUAUGAAGCCUUUCAAAAGUUCGUCUAACAUGUUAGGGCCGCAAGGUUUCCUUUGCGAGCAGAUAUAGAUACCCCCCUUCCGAAUGGCACAAUGACGCGCAGCCUAUACACAUAGGGACAGGGGCUCGCACUAUACCCGUGUCGGUUCAGCCCCUCCGCCCUUUCGGGUAACCUCUAACAAGCUAGAAAAGGUCUUCAUACUGAGCUAAAGCCAGAGCCAUUAUAGCCCUCAUGGUUGCACUGUUAUCCCGGGUGAUCACGUACAGACAAAUCAUCAAGUUGUUAAAAAGUCAUUUUUACCAUUUAUUACUUAACAUUAAUCUAGUCACAGGAUCAUGGUCACAGAAAUAAAAUCCAAAUGCUAUACUUGCCUCAAUCCAAUUGCUCUUGCUUAUCCUUUUGGUCCUGCUGGUCUCACUUGUUGCCAAAGCUUUGAUCUUGAUCACCGAAACUGCUCUCCGUCUAAACUCGAUCAUCGAUCAUCAACACACAAACAAUCGGACACAACAUACACGUAGCAAACAAGGCUAUAAUUAGAACAGUACACCAAUCAUAUAAAAACAAUAUGAAAAAUUUGUAAAAUAAUUCUACGCAUCGCUACGAUCUCACAGACGUAAAGAUGACGAAAAUCGGAGUUAAAACGGAAAAGAUAUGGAUUUUCUAAGAUUUUAUAUAGAAAAGUAAUUAAUUAAUUAAGGUCACGAAAUUAAAAGGUUUCAAACUGAGUGAACAAUAUUACUAACAUGUAGUGCUCGUGAUUACGAACCUAACACAAUUUCAAUGGACAAAACGGAGUUAAAACAGAGAUGAUAUGGCCUAAAUAAACUAGCGUAUUUUCUUUGUAUUUUUAGGUUUGUUUUUCUAAAGGAAAACGGCAAUAAAACAUGUCUAUGUUAUAACGACGUCAUCAAGCUAGCCAGCAACGUUUAUUCGCAGAUAUAUGUUAGACAUGUACAUCCCUAGAUCGAUUGCUGCGCAGAUAGAAACAUCGCCGGGCGAAACAAAUCAGUGCAUGCACUUGUAGAGGCUUUGUGAAAUUUCUCACACAGGAAUCGACAUAUUAAAGAUGCAAAGUUACCUCUUAUGGUGAUUAUAAGAUUCAAUAGGACAUGCUUGCCGAACGAUGGGUCAGUGGCCACGUCGUCAAGAACAGGUUGAUCUACGGCAACACCUUCUACUCCCGUGCUCUGUUGCUUGCUACUCUUCACGUGGCCAGCGAUUUGGUCUUCUGCUUCUUUGGUCCACAAUCACGAUGGUUCACCGGAACAUGGCAAGCAGCUCUGGCAAGCAGGACGUGGCAAGAGCAGAGCGGCGGCCGUAACAUGGCAAGGGCAGCAUCUAUCUAGGCAUGGCCGACGGCGGCGGCUCUCAAGGGUUUUAAGGACGUAAACACUCUAGACGAAUAUGACGUGUAUAUAUACGUGCGGUCUAGAUCAAGUUUGAUUAGGGUUAGAACUUAUUAUUUUUGGAAUUAAUUAUUUUCAUGGAUAAAAUAAUUAUAGAAAAGUCCAGAAUUAUUAUUUAAACUAUGAAAAAUAUUCUAAAAGCUCUGAAAAUUCGGAGAAAAUUCUCAGAGACAUUAUGGAAUAUGAGGAACUCAAAUAACGUAUUUGGACCUCAUGAUAAGAUAAUUUGGAGCAUCUAAAAAUUAGAUUUAUGCUCAUAGAAAAGUGAGAAUAGAAGAUGGAAAAAUUCCCGAAAAGUUUGUAGAGAUUGCUUGAUGGACGAGGAACUAAAAGAAGUGCUUUGAGUGACAAAGAAAAGAUUUUAGGAAGCUCCUAAUAAAAAAUUGAGCUGAGAAACCAAAGAAUUUGGUUAUAGAUAAAGAUAAAGACGUACUGGUCAAGGAAGAUCUACUAAACGCAUUUUAAAACUUUGCUCACUCAACACAUAAAGGAGCAACAAGUCAACAUCACAUCAAAACAUAUGCACCAGCAUGUAUGCACAACAAUAUUGCUAAGGCUUAUGAUAAAUUUUAAUUUAAUGAAAAUUAUUAUUUUCCUUAUAUUUUCGUGAGCACAAAAUACAAAACUGAAUAAAUUUUCAUCUAUUUUGAAAAGAGCAAAAUUUAGGGUGUUACAGUUGUCAAAAUUUUUUAAAAUUCUCAAUCAAAUUAAAUCUUGGGACACAAUGUAUCAAAUAUUAAAUAUAGAUAAAAAUUAAUUAAUUAUAUAGUUUGUAUAUAAUUUGCGAGAUAAAUUUUGUAAACCUAGUUAAUCUAUAAUUAAACAAAAAUUAUUAAAUAUAAACGGUGCUAUAGUAACUAGAUCCAAAAAUUUUCACCAACUAAGGGCUUGUACAACGAUGGGCGCUUAUGAUCAGGUAUUGGCCGUUAAAUAGUUUUUUUGCCACACGGUGGAGUCCUGAGCGGGCGCUUAAAAAUAGAUUUGCCGCUCCGUAAAGCAUCGACGCCUAGACCGGCUCCUUGCUUGAUACUGGUGUUUGCAUGCGACGUAACGGUCACAACUUAAGCGCCUUCAAAUACGUGUUGUGUUGUAGAUUAAGGUUAUAAAGAGACGCUUAGUUACAAAAGUAUUUUCUCUUUCCAUCUAAGCGCCUUUUGCAUUGUACGUGCUCUAAACAAGGCCACAGAUACAGACAUACAGUGGUUAGCUGAGGCAGAGUGAAAUCAUUAGCAGCAAACAUAUAAUAAAUAGCAGCCGCCUAGCACGACUUAGCGCCACUUAAGUUUUGUUUAGUUACGCUCGAAAUCCAAAAACUUUUCAAGGUUCUCUUCACGUCGAAUUUAGAGACACAUACAUGUAGCACGACUUAGCGCCACUUAAGUUUUGUUUAGUUACACUCGAAAUCCAAAAACUUUUCAAAGUUCCCUUCACGUCGAAUUUAGAGACACAUACAUGAAGCAUUAAAUAUAAAUAAAAAAAUAACUAAUUACAUAAUUUAUCUGUAAUUUGAGAGACGAAGCUUUUGAGUCUAGUUAGUCUAUAGUUGAACAAUAAUUAUCAAAUAUAAAAAAAAAUGUUAUAGUACCAAAAAAAUCUUUUCACUCACGAACUAAAUAAAGGCCCUAAUCUCAUCAUCCGCCUCACUGUUUAAUCGAAUGUCCUUGAUGGCCACCCACAGGCUCACAAAACCUGAGACGGUGAGACCUUGCCUGGGGUAGUAUAUGGGGCCAAUGGCCAAUCCAUUUAUCAGUUUGCCCAAGGCAGGUGGUGGGCCACUCUGUUCAAUUUUGAGUCUAAUAUAUGCAAUAUCUUCUCUUUUGUGCAAUUUUUGUCCGUGGGUUCAAACAAUCCUGCCACCGUGUCACCGGUGGCUGAUCGUGUCAACCCUUCGCCGCAGUCCGCUCCACCACAGUACGGGGGGCCCAGUUGCAGUCUCUGCCACCGCAGUAGGGAUGUUGAACUUGUAAUAAUAAAUAUGUGAGUGCUUUUAAUAUAUAAUGCAUGUUGGUGAUAUAGAUGUGAUAAUUGGCGUGUGUGUAUAUAUAUUGUCUGUUACAAUGGAAUGUAAAAAAUAAAACAAAUACAAUUCUCGGGGUCUUCGCCGAGUGCGGUGCCAGGGUCACUUGGCAAAGCAAUUUAAAAAAACAAUUUUGCCGAGUGUCGGGGCCACGACCACUCGGCAAAGAAUUUUUCUUUAAAAAAGAAAAGACACUUUGCCGAGUGCUGAUGCUAGGGGCACUAGGCAAAGUAUUUUUAAAAAAAACAAAUAUGCGGAGUGCCGCGGCAAGGGACACUCAGCAAAUAUUUUUUUUUUAAAAAAAAAGAAAGAAAAUCUUUGUCGAGUGCCUGAGGCCAGAGGCACUUGGCAAAGCAAUUUUUUUUAAAAAAACUUUGCCGAGUGUUAAGGGGCCAGGGGCACACGGUAAAAUAUUUUUUAAAAAACAAAAACUUUGUCGAGUGUCGUGUCGGGCAACUCGGCAAAAUAACUGUUAACGGCAGAUGCUGUGACGGCCAAAAAUGUUGCCGAGUGCUGUCGUAAGCACUCAGUAAAAUGUUUUUAAUAUUUUGCUAAGUGCCUCGGUAAAAAGCACUCAGCAAAGUCUCUUUGUCGAAAAUUUUUUUGCCGAGCGAACUUUGCUGAGUGCUACGUUCGGCAAAGCCUUUGCCGAGUGCAAAGGGCUCUUUGUCGAAUGUAAAAACACUCGGCAAAGUCCUAAUUUCCAGUGGUGGGUGUGCUGGGACAAUUUAGAAAGCAAGCAACGAUUUCAUUUUGCGUUAGAUCACUCCCAUCCUCGAAGCCUCAGUUUUUUUUUUCAGAAAUAAGUUCCAGCUGUUGCUGCUGAGAACUAAAAGAAGCUUUUCACCCUUGAUUGAUCAAUGGAUUGGCUCUCUAGUUUAACAGGCUUCUUUGUUGUACUCUUUUUGCUCUUUUUUCCUUAGUUUUUUUGUUCCUUAGUUAAGACUCCACCCUACUGCCUCCUUAACUGUUGUGCUUUUUUUUUUGUAAAAGACCUUUUUUAUUAUAAUUUUUGCAUUGUUGUAGGGGUGCAAACCCCUCCAAUCUCCUUCAAAAAAUUCAAAAGUAAUAUAACCUUGCAGAACAAAGGACGGUAAUCCCACCAUUUUGCUAUGUGAGCCCACUCCUCUUAUUUUUUUUACUUUUAUUUUGAUUAUGCCCACUCCUGUUAAGCAGUCAUUUGUUCCAUUCCCUAAAUAUAUUUCUAUUUUUUAGAAUAUUCAAUAAGGCGUAUAUACAUUAUAUUUUAAGAAAUAAACUAUAUUCAAGACAAAUCUACCCACAUCAAUAUUACUUGUAUACAUUCAAAUAAACAUGUAGACAUAAUAAUUCGAUAGUUAAGGUUUCAAAAUGAUUGAAAUAAGACAACUUGAAAUAUGUCACAAUAAAAAAUUAUUUGUGGUCAAAGUUUCUGAAAUUAUUGACUUACGACAACGUACAUCCAAGUGUCACUUAAUUGCUUUGUGAGCAGAGGGAGUAUAUAUUUUGGCAAGUUACCCUCCAUCUAAAAAUAUAAAACACAUGUUUUUAGGACAGUAAGAUUUGACCAAUAGGUGCUUGUGCCAUUAAUAUGCAUAAAUCAUAGAUACUUUUGAAUACAAAUAUCUAGUUACAUCAAUUUGCUACCACAAAAUUGCAAGUAUCUUGGUUAAAGCCAUGUCUAACAAAACAUGAGCUUUGGGAUGGAUAUAUAUCAUAUUGGUGUGUACGUUUAGUAGUCUCUCUUCGUUUCAAUUUAUUAGAUGUUGUUUUGGCUUUUGUAGAUACAAAAAUUUUUUUAUGUAUCUAGAUAACGUUUAUUAUGAUAUAGAUAUAUCGUAUAUCUAUAUGCCUAAAAAACUGAAUAUCUAGAAAAACUAAAAUAACCUAUAAUUUAGGAUAGAGGGUGGUAAUAAUUAUACAUCUUCUGCUACCAAGUCCCUUAAUUACAGCACACAGCUCUGUUUUCUAGUUGCCUUGAUCGUUCAUCAGAUGAAUUAUGUAUUUGAAGAGUAGCGCGUGUGUGGUCAUGUCAUGAAAACGUGCUAGCUAGGUACUUGUUUUAAUUUCCACCGUGUGAGUAUUUUUUUUUUUCAAGUGGCGAGAGUUCAUUAAUUAAAUAAAACCAUUCAAUUUUUCAAAUCACAAUACGUUGUCUGCAAAUCCUCUGAGUCAGCCAGUUUUUCGUUACGUGCUAUACUCCGUCCAUUCUAAAUUAUGUUUUUUAAACUUUUUGGUAUAUUCAUUUUGCUACAUACUAAAAAAAUUAAAAAUAACUUAUAAUUUAGAACAGAAGAGGUAUAUAUAUAGUUGCAUAUAUGCUGACAAGUGUUUGGGGGAGAAUAGAGCAGUAACUCUCUUGACCAAGCGUUUGGGAGUCAUGGAACACAGUCACAUGGCGCAUGCAUGCGUAACAACAAUUUGGAAACAAAGAGAUGUGUGUGUGCAUGUAGCAGUGAUCGAACUAGUACAAACCACAGGAGCGAGAGGAAACGUACACGGACAUAAAUAAUAAACACCGCACAUAGUGCAUGCACUCAAAAAUAAACCCAACAAGCAAAAGUACAUCUCUCACACACACAUGUACACACGCACGUACGUACAUACGCUAAGAUGCAAGCGUAUCACAGCGUACACGACGACACGUACGUACAUACGGAGAGAUUUUUAUUCAGUAGUACGACGUAGCAGUAGUAGACAACUCAUCAUCUCAUCAUAUCAGGCGUAGAUAGAUACUCAUCCAUGGUCGAUGCUCCGGCGCCGAUCGACGACGACGGCGGCGGCGGCGGAAUGGAUCAUCGAUCGAUCGAUCAUCGUUUAGGUUUAGUUCACCCUGCAUGAUCAUGCAUGCAUGGAAGACGAAGCACAAGUUAAUUAAACGACUUGAUAUUCAAGUUGAAUCAGACCAUGCAUGCAUGCAAAGUUGCAAACAACUUGUAGUGAUUGGAUCAUUCAUUCAGAUCAUCACUUAAUUACCUGGAGCAGUCGGUGGAGGUGCUGAUGGUGUAGGGGACGCUGACGCCGCACUUGGAGGGGAUGCUGGCGGCGUUGCCGGCGUUGAGGCCGCUGAUGCCACGGGCGGCGUUCUUGAGGCAGUUGCAGGCGGCGCGCCUGUCGGCGGUGGUGCGGGCGGCGGAGUUGAGGCUCCUGACGCCGCUGCAGCAGCCUGCUGAGGGUGCGGAGCCCUGGCCCCGGGCGUAGGACAGGCAGGGCGCGAUGGCCGAGCUCACCUGCCCGCAGGAGAUGGCCGCCUCCGAGGUCGUCGCCGCCAGCACCACCACCGCCGCCGCCGCCACCACGGCGAUCGCCACAGCAAGCCGAGCCAUGUCGUCGAUGUUCUGGGGGUGUCUGAGACUUGCUUGUACUAGCUUUGGAAUGCAAGUGAGCAAGUGCUAGCCGCUGGUGAGGAGAGUGAGAUGGAGUGUGGCUCCUUAAAUAGGCAGGCUUGCGAUCGAUCUGAUCUGAUCUGAUCUGGGAGCUAGCUACAGUAGCUUGUCAUUGCUGAUGACAGAUGUGCAUGCAUGCACGGUGUUGUUGCAUUGCAUGCAGUUUCAGGCAGGCAGUCGGUGGAAUGGUGGAUGCAUGCAUAUGAAUGAAUGAAUAUGGUGGAUGUUCCAACAUCAUCUUCCAUGGACGACGGACGGUAUCGUCGCCAUCCGUCGAAGUUAAUUGCUGGGCAGGAGGUGGUUGGGUGUUGGGAGCAGGAGGCAGAUAGAUACAGAUAAUACUACAGCGGUUAGUUGAUGAGGGCAUGAUCGAGGCAGAGUGAAUUCAUUUGCAGCAGCAAUAGCAACUUAUUAGGGUAUGUUAUACUAUAACACUUUCGUUUAUAUUUAGCAAUAAAUAUUUAAUUAUAGACUAACUAGACUCAACAAGUACUUUAUCUCGCGAUUUACAUAUACAAACUAUGUAGUUAAUUAUUUUUUUUUUAUUUAUAUAUAUUUUAUGUUUCGUACAUGCGUCUAAAGAUUCGAUGCGACGAGAAAUCUUAUAAACAUUUAGAAUUUUAAAGACAUUUAAACACGCCCUUAAAUAGCAGCCGCCUAACACGACUUAGCAGGCAGGGUGAUGGCGGCAGUCGGCAGGGACGGACGUACGUGGCUCUCAUCUGAUGAAGUUGGAGGCGUAUUCACUCUCUCUCACUAGUGUGUCAGUGUGAGGUAGUUUGCAGUUGGAUCCGAGUGCUUAUCGCACAAUAAACACAUACUCUUCCUGCAUUAAGACGUCAAUUAUAUAUGGAUCGUCCAUCAUCCAUGAAUCCUUCCAGUAGUCUUCGUUAAUUCCUCCCGGCCGCAACCAGAAACAGAGAUAUCAGUACAGUGCAGGAGGUUACAUGCACAUUCACAAAUUGAAGUUGCAGCAGUGGUAGCGAUUAAGUUGUCCAGCAAGUAUGGGAGCCCACAUGUCGCUGUCUCGAUCGGAAGCUCCGCCACGUAUUACAUACAUGCAUCCCGUCCCCAACCUAGCUAGCUACCUCUGUGUGCACAGGCAGGUACCACCGACGGUUUCCCAAAACUCGUAUGUGUCCGACCCUCAAAAACAAAUCUCUCAAUUUUUGUUCAAAACAAACAAAUUUUUUAAAAUUUUAGAUUCAAAAACAAACAACUUUUGACCAUCAAAGAAAAAUACUGCUCUACCUCGAUCCGUUCUAAAAAGAACUUGGGAUUAUAUUCUAGAAAGUAACAGAUAGAUUCGUGUGUAAUGUUUAGAGAUGAGAUCUUGUAUGAAAAGAUUGGUUGAUGCGUAUAGAGCAACUUCAACCAAACUUCUAAAUGAACCUCUACCUUUUUAUAUAAAGGGGCUAAAACUCAAAUAUACUCUCGAACUGAUCCGGUCCCGACGGAGAGGGGCUCCCAUUUAUCUUUCCUCUAGAUGUAUGAGGCGGUGUUUCGGAUGGUUUGAUUCAAUUCCUUGCAGCUGCUAUUCAAUGAUGUCUUAACUGUAGCUCAUUUCUACCACUCUUAAUUAUGUAUGGCGAAGAGAAGAUUAAGCUCCCAAUCGAGUCCGAGUUGGAGGAUUUCGGUGCAACGUGGAGUUUGAUCUCUGCAUGGAUCGUUAAAUCUAAGUUGAGGUCAAUGUUUGUACUACAGAUCAUAGUACAUUGUGGUUGCCCUUGUUUGUAUGAGAUCUAGUGUAGAAUUUGUUGAUACUUUGUUGGCUACACAUUUGAUGGUUCCUUUCACUUAGGUUUCUUGGAUGAGCAGUUGUAAAUGCCAUUGCUUUCAUUAGUCGGCAGUUUGGUGCGCAUAGUGGUGUUCACAUGUGCUAGUUGCUCAUUUAGUGAUUGUGGUUCCUGAAUUAUGUGUUUGAGGUGGAGCACAUUUAGAAAGUAUGGAUUUGCAUUCUUCACUAUCUGUUCAAUUAAUGCCUUAGGUGAUUUCUUCGCAUACCCUUUCGUGAUCGAGCAAUUUGUUCAGACUUGGGUUAGAAGGCAGUAGCACAUGCUCAAACAUUUGCUGCGGUUAGAAUUUGUCGAAGACUCAGUUUUGUUCAUCUGAAUUUGGUGAGACACGAUUUGAACUUCCUAGUUAUUCUUGCUUGCUCGAUUUGGUAGCUUCUUGUGAAGCAUUUGUUGGUGGUUUUGUUAGUGUAUUUGACUUGGUGUUGGAGAUUUGAGCAUUUUGCAUCAUGAUCAUUGGUGUGUUGGCCAUGUUGUUCACUCAUUGGAGUUCACUCAUGAAUUUGUUUCUAGCUUCAUCAUUUGCCAAGUCAAAACAAGCUACCUUCAUGUUGGAGGCGAUAAAUUUGUCUUUUUUAUUAUUUAUUUGAAGAUGAAGGAUUUGAAGAUUGGACUUCCCUCAUCAAGAAUCUUGAUGUGUUCGCUCUAUGGUUCAAUCGUCGCCGAGGUAUAGAAUUGUGAUGUUGCAGCUUCUAAUAACACCAUUUGAGGCUUUACAUUAUGCAGAAUGUUACCUAUAUGUUUGGUUAGGUGUCUAGGAACUUAUUUGUGGUAAUCUGUAACUUUGAGAGCCUUUUAAUGAAAUGCCCAAACCAGCCCAAAAAGGGCAUCCCAAGCUCCCUGCUUCUGUAGGUGCAUGCUCUUCCCCUUUGGGGGGUUGAGAGAGGCCGGGAGAGGAGAUUUGAGGGUGGGGCUUUGUUUUACCAAAUCUGAACAUUAUAGAGUGAAAUCGGAGGGGAUUUAGAGCCUUCGCCAACCUUGUUAGUUCACGCCUCUUGUAUCAUCAUCUUCACAGUGGAUUGCUUGCUCGUCGCCGCCUGUGGUUUUUCCUACAAGGGGUUUCCACAUAAAUCUUAGUCUCUACCUAUGAUUCAGUAUUUAUCUUGCCAUACUUGUUGAUUCAUACCAAUCUUGCUUACAUGGUGUCAUUUCUCCAAGUUCAUGGUGUAUGAUUGAUAUUGACGUAUGAUGCAUACAUGCAUUCUCUUAUAUGUUAAUGAUGGGGAUUGAUGUGUUAGUGAGUUCAUAUUUACAAGUAUACUCAUUAUUGUGAAGUUUGCAUAGCACCAUGUCUGAAGAAUUGAUAAUAUGGGUCUGAUUUGUAUUUUGCACAUAAGGUGUUAGUUGAAAUAUUCAUGAGUAACUAGCUUGCUAAUUUUGAUGUUUCCUCUGCCUCUAUGCGCUUACAAUAAGUUUAUGGAAUAAAUUUUAGAUCCUUAAUUGAUAUUUAUCUUUGGAAAUAGAGGAAGUAAUAAAUGGUCCCAAUUUGCUAGCCACUUGUACAUAGUUAUACUAUAUACAAGCUUAUGCAAGUCAAAAUGUAAAAAACAAGAAGAACCAAGAAACAUGAACAAAAUACAUACAUACACUUAUGCAAGAUGUAGUAUAUAACUUUUAGGACAAUAUUUAUUUUGGCUCUGUUUCACUAGUGGAGUAGCUUUUUCCACUGGUAAAGGUAAAAUUGUUUUAGUUGUUUGGUCAAACAACUUCUCUAAUUCUUAAAAACAAAAAAUGACUAUAAUACUCUUUUUUGGCUGGCCGAGCUUUAAAAUUUUUAUCUUCUUUUUUAUGAAUUCUUCUUUAUGUGGCUACCAUCUGUUUGUCCUCCCCGCUUAUCCCCUGGUGCCCCGACCCGUCCACCUCCGCCUCAGCUUUGCCACCUUCAUCCUCAUCCAGCCACCAGAUGUUUCUCCUCAGUGUUCAUCCCAUGGUCCCCGCCCAUCUCCCACCGGUGACUCCACCCCUCACACCUCAAUGACUCCACCCCGCCCUUGUUACAUCAUUCUUCGUUGUAGUUUUGUUUGCAUCCAAUGACUUCAGUCACCCCCACAACUCUAGCCCCAUGCCACACUUGUCAUGGUGCAUGUAUUUGCCGCACCAUGCCUAUACAAAGAUGGCCCUCAUGACUUGAUGGAAGAGCUAAGCAAAGCCAUUUUUAGCUUCCCUAGAUGUGAGCGCGUGUAAGAUCGUGUUUUCCGAAGUUAGCACGAGGAGUAGCAACAGCUUUCAAGAUGGCAACGGGCCCCGAUCCCCGAUGGGGAUUUCAUCCAUUAGGGGACGAGAACGGGAAAAUUUUGAUCCCCGUAGGGGGACUUCAUGAGAAAGAAGGAUCCUCCAUCAGGUGAAGCGGGGAUGCAAACAUUCUAGGCUUCAUCCUUUAGCCUGACCCAACAAAUGAAAUAGGUCCAGUUUCUAACACCUAAAAAAAUCAUAUAAAAGCAAGAGCAUUUGUAACCCUAGUGAUCCACCAUUGCUUCUAGGCUUCUAGCUGAGUUGUCACUUCCACCGGUCCUCCUCCACUCCUCCUGUAUGCCUCUAAAGUCCAAGCUCAUCCUAUCUCCCUCUCUCCCCUCUACCCUCUGUCUCGCACCAACGACGUUGUGGUGGCGGUGAUGCUUGCGGGCUGUGGCCACAUGCUCUGGUAAGCAAGCACUGCUCUAGGGUUGAACCUGACAACAGCGGAGCCACGGAUGAGGUGUUCAAGGGAAGACGUGAAGGGCAACACCAAGGGGUUUAUCGGGGAUAGAGACCCCGCCGAGUGUGUAAUCUCGGGGACAGGGAUGGGGAAAUCUGGUACCCAGGUGCAGGGAUAGGAACAGGGACGGGGAGCGGGGUGUUUUUCUUUUCUCAUGGUCAAAACGUUCAAGCAAAACCUGACGGGGAUAGCCCCGUUGCCAUCUUUAAACGGCUCUCCUUCACCUGUUCGGUAGACGAACACGUAGACCAACUCUAGGAGCAGUUUGAUUUACAUUUCCUGACGGUUGACGGAGUUAGUAAUUAAUUACGUAAGAGUAGUUGAAGGAGCUUCCCGGCACCAUAUACUUGCGAGUGAUAUGCAGGGGUUACAAUAAUUACAGUUUACAAUGCUCGUCUCUUUAAUUAUGCGACGGGACGUGACGAUGGCCCAGCGGCUCAGCUGCAUGCAUGGAUCAAUCGAUCGAUCGCCAAUUAUCAAAAAAACCAAUCGAUCGACAGCUAGGUAAACUACCAGCUGCGGAUUAUAAAUUAUUCACGCUCAUCAUAUACAUAUAUAAUUAUAUAUACACGUACGUACGCUUCUGAGUACGAGCGACGAAAGUGUGGUGCAAGUGCAGCGUACAUGCCGGUACAGCGGCCAUCAUAUCAAGAUAUGUAUCCAUCUCCUACUACUGUACACAUUUGUAUCCUUACGGAGAUACAGUAUAUCAAGAUCAUCCUCUGACUCACUGCAUAGUCUGCACCGCAUCACGUACGUGCCGAAUACGUACAAGACUGAUUCAUGCUACAUAGUACGUGCGCCACACUCCUCGAUCGAUCGGUACAUCUUCACGUGUCCAUGUUCCUCAUCAACGAAUUAAUGCAUUUGUUUUCACAUGCCGCAUGCAUGAGAGUCGUCGGUCGUGGUGCCACUGUGCACACAUGCUUGAGUCCUUUGCUUUUCCUGUGCUCCAAUUCUUUUUUUCCAUAUACUCUACUCCCCGUCCCAAAAAAAGUGUCGUUUUAGAAUUUCAAACAUCUUAUUUGAUCAUCCAUUUUAUUCAAAAUUUUUACAUAAGUAUUAUAAAUUUUGUUAAGACCUAUUUAUCAUUAGAGAUACUUUACUAAUGAUUUAUUUAUUUUAUAAUUUACACAAAAUUUUUGAAUAAGACGAACGAUCAAACACGAUUUCUAAAAAUAAAAAACGUCACUUUUUUUAGAAUGGAGGGAGUACAUUAUUUUCAGAUGCCCAUCCUAGAGUAUGUAGUACCAUUCCAUGUAACAGCUAGUACCUUGUACCUAGGAUGGAGUACGUACUACUCGUGCUUGCAGUAGCGCGCGAAAGUGGACGACAGCACGCCCAUACGGCCAUCCGCUCACCAUUGUCUACAUCCUAGCUUUCUACGUACGUGUGUACCUGUACAUAUAGUCAUAAACCUAUAUCUACAUUUUUUAAUAAUAAUUUAUAUCCAUACCCUAAUAAUUUUAAUAAUAAUGAAUAAUAAAAGAAGCAAAAAAUUUCCCAUCCCUCCUAUUACUGCUUUAAGUAAAAAAAAAGACCUUCACGGACGCGGCAACACUUGUGUUAGGAUGAAAGAUAGAAAUGAGGCACAGCCAAUCUGUCGUCUUGUGAUGAAUUACGAAAAGAAUAUUUGUCAUCAGAUCAGUAGUAGAAUUAACAAUCACACGUAGAACAGACACAAUGAUUUAUGUGAAAGACCUUUUCAAGGCAAGAAGUAAAAACUAUGGAACCAAACGCUCUACUCCAAGCUUCCACUAUAAGUACAAUGAGUGUAGAAGGAGUUUUAUCUAGGGAAUCUAGAGUUAACCAGCGAUAACACAUUCAUCAAAUUACAAACUUGCCAUCAGUUAGAACCACAACCUUCUAACAAUAAGAGGAAUGACAACAACGAAGUAAAGAACUCAUAUAUUUUGUUCCCCUUUGGUAUCAAUUUAUAUCUCAAACUAUAGCUUUAUUGUGCAUUAAUUUUGAAAUGCAUAUAGAUCCACAAGUCCCCUAGCCACUGAUCAAGUUUUAGCUCAAUUGGACACCAUUUCACCAUCCAAAACAAUCAUCUACCAAAAUUUCUCUCUGUCUUGAAACUUAGUAACCAGAGCUGACAAAACAUACCCUUUCAAAUCUGGUGCUCUAAUCAACCGAUCCUCAAACCAACUGAACAUAUCAAACUAACCUAAUUGAGGAAUGAGCUAACCAAGUUUGGUCCCAAUCCAUCUAUGUUUGAGCCUACAAUCACUGGCUUUAAGAUGGCUGGUUAGAGCCACCAAAUCUCGAUAGAUUUGGUUCUUCUUAUUGUUCCUCCUCUUUGUCUAUCACGUUGUGGUGUUCUUGUGUUUCUCAACACCCCUCUCUUAGCUCCAACAACUAAAGGAAUAAAAGCUAGGGUUUUUAUUUUUAGUUUCCAAUUAAGAUUGAUCUUCACCGUUGGUUCCAACUAAAAUCAACAACUCACAAGAACUAGCCUCAGAGUUAUAUUUUCAGCUGCUUUGCGGAGCUCAAGAUCAUCCUCUAUAUGAAGGGACAGACUAGCACUUGUGUCAUAGCUUGGUCGACUGAGCUUGAGAUCCAACGGUGGGGUGGUGGGGCUCUAGAGCCCCCUCCUACGGCUACUGGACCUAUGGAGUCUCCAUAGGAAUUUUUUAUCAUGGAUGCACUUGAGGAGAGGCUGAAGCUAUCUAAAGGUUUAAAGAAAUCUCCCUAGACAUUUUUGCUAGAUCCGUUCCUAUAUGUGAUACAACCAGUGCAUUCAAUAGCCAGUAGCCACCAAAUCACUAGAAUUUAUUUGAUUUAAUUAAAGUAAAGUUUGGUUCCAACUAAAUUAAUAAAUUUAAUAAAAUGAUUAGUUUAUUAUCAUCUACUUUGGUAGAUCCAGACAAUCGCACGAGAAGUUGUAGGUGUGUACUUGUGUUACAGCACAGCAGCAUAUAUGAGCAUAUUCGUUAUGCCAAUAUUAUACACAAAGAAAAAGAGUCAUGGACGAGGCGGCAAUUGCUGUCGGUGGAUGGCUACCUUUCGGAAGCUAGCCACCGUACACACUCUUUUGGCCGGCCGGCGUCGGCGUGCUGCCAAGUGCAACCUCCCCAACGCUAAGCAGGUAGUGAUAUUAAUGCCGCUGCCGGUGAGGCUCGUCGUCGUCGUCGUCGUCGUCGUCGUGUGACACAAACAAGUCUACCAUCACCCAGAGUGGUCCCGGACACUGUAGGACACGCGUAGUGUAUGUACGCAAUGUCGUCGUCUGCUGCCCUGCUCAACGAUGUGUUCUAACUUUAUUACACGGUACCUGUACGAGGGUAGCAGCAGCUGCUCGGCUGCUGCAGGUGGAUCAUGCACACGCGCGCAACUCCAACACUACCCUAAACUUCACUUGGCAAAUCUUGAAUUUUGCAAAGUGUAAAACUCAAAUGCCAAGUGAAAAAAAGAGGCUUCUGUUAGCUAUUUCUUUUGACAAAUUUGGACUAUCUUGUGAUUCCUGAAAAAAUCAGAGAGACUUUUAUACAAAAGUUGCAAUCUAUUUAAGGCAUGCGUGCAUGCUGAAUGUGUGGGUCCCACCGCGUAGGCAGGAUGCCAAGCGCUCCCAACGCUCUUAAAUUUGAGCCAGUUGGCCCUCUUUUUGCCAAGCAUCCUAUUUUGCCAAGUGCAUAUAGAGUAGUGUUGGAGGAGCUUUUCCAUGUUUUGCCAAAAAUUAGGAUUUGCCAAGUGCAUAUAGGGUAGUGUUGGAGUUGCUCUAAGGACGUCCAGAACAGCCAUCUAAGGUCUCUUUGGUUGGACUUUUGAACCUGCUUUUGCUUUUGUAAAAGCCAAAAUCCAACCAAAGGGCCCAAAAGCCACAAGUGCUUUUGCCCAAAAGCAGCUUUUCUCGUAGUACAAAUCCAAAAGCACCUCACCCCCUGCUUUCACUGACUUCUGGGAUCCGUUCAGUUUUUUUUUCCAAAAGCCACGAGUGACCAACCAAAUGACUUUUGGGUUUCUCAAAGCCCACAUCCCACAGUAGCUUUUCAAAAGCUCAAAGCUCACAGUAGCUUUUCCAAAAGUCACAUCCCAAUCAAACACACCCUAAGGCCUUGUUUAGAUCCAAAUAAUAGAUCUACAGGAUCUACUAGCAAUAGAAAGAACAGGGAUUCGGGAUACAUAAGUAACAUAGACAGUAACAUAAAUAUGCACACUAGAUCUAUUACAUAGGGAAUAGAAACAGGUAGAUCUAGAGUAUAGGGAUUCGACCGUCGUUGGCGGCGGGUGUAGAUCCAGUGGGGUCCAUGGCGAGGGCGUUGACGCGGUGACGGAGUAGAUCCCGUCGUCCUUCGGGCCUCCACCGGCACUGACCGACGACGGCGGGGUAGGAGUAGAAGGGUGACGGCGCGGUGGUGCUUCCCGACGCCACUGCGCACUGUCGAUCGGCGACCUAGGGUUGUGAGUAGGGUUUGGCGGCGCACGACGAACUUCGUGUUGUGUGCCAGUAGCCCCCUACUCCUAUAUUUAUAGCGCAGCGCGUCGGGGGCCCACCAACGAUAGAUCGAUUGGACGCCCCCGAUCAGGGCGCGAUCCAGGGGGAAAGGCCCCAGCCGUUGGGCUGGGCCUGAGAUCAAUAUAACAUUCUCCCUCUUGAUCUCAUCUGUGCUUUCUCGCUUUGUCAACUCACCCCGUCACAAAUCAGUGUAUUGAGCAUGCUUCAUCUUAGCAGUUAUCACUGCUAGAUUAGACAGCCACAAACACUUUUCUGUUUAGAGAUGAAUUCUCGCCUUGGGCCCCUUGCUAUCCAGGAAUCACAGGCUUUCCCUUAAACCCAUGUCGGCUACAUGUUCUCUGAACAUACUGGGCGGUAAGCCUUUCGUAAGCGGAUCCGCUAGCAUCUUUUCUGUGCUUAUAUGUUCAAGACUUAUGAUGUGAUCUCGGAUUUUAUCCUUGACAACAUAAUAUUUUAUGUCAAUGUGCUUGGCGGCAUUGCUUGACUUAUUGUUGUGAGCAUACAACACUGCUGGCUCGUUGUCACAAUACAACUUUAGUGGUUUAUCGAUGCUGUCGACCACCUUUAAACUGGGUAUAAAUUUCUUAAGCCAAUUCACCUGUCCUGAUGCCUCAUAACAAGCAAUAAACUCAGCAUACAUUGUGGACGAUGCAGUGAUUAUUAUUUGUUUUGAGCUCUUCCAUGAUAUGGCUCCUUGCACGAGAGUGAAUAUAUACCCUGAGGUAGACUUUCUAUCAUCUUCCGCGUAAUCAGAAUCUGAAUACCCUACUAUUUGUAGGUCAUCAGAUCUUCUAUAGGUUAACAUAUGAGCCCCUUCGUGCCUUGCAAGUAUCUUAAGAAUUUCUUUACUAGAUUCCAGUGUUCCAUACCAGGAUUACUUUGAUAUCUACCAAGUAGCCCGGUCACAAAAGCCAGGUCCGGGCGUGUGCACACUUGAGCAUACUGUAAGCUUCCGACAGCUGAAGCGUAUGGAACGGCUUGCAUGCAAUCGCGCUCGAACUUGCUCUUGGGACAUUGAUGUUCCCCAUACUUGUCACCUUUUACAAUAGGAGCAGGUGAAGGUCUACACUUAUGCAUAUUGAAUUUCUUCAAUAUUUUCUCUAUAUAUGCCUCUUGGGACAAUCCCAAUACCCCUCGACUUCUAUCUCGGUGAAUCUUUAUGCCCAAGACAAAAGAAGCUUCACCUAAAUCUUUCAUAUCGAAAUUUGAGGACAAAAAUCUCUUGGUUUCCUGUAGUAGAGUGACACCACUACUGGCUAGUAGAAUGUCAUCUACAUACAGUACUAGGAAAAUGUAUUUCCCAUUCUUAAACUUUGCAUAUACGCAAUUGUCCUCAACAUUCUCUUUAAACCCAAACUUUCUGAUUGUCUUAUCAAACUUUAAAUACCACUGCCUGGAUGCUUGCUUUAAUCCAUAAAUGGAUUUCUUCAGGCGACAACCCAUUCUUUCUUUGCUUGUCACAACAAAACCUUUCGGUUGUGCCAUGUAUACUCUUUCUUCUAGAUCCCCAUUGAGGAAAGCUGUCUUCACAUCCAUUUGAUGCAAUUCUAGAUCAAAAUGUGCCACUAGGGCCAUUAUGAUUCUAAAAGAGUCCUUGCUCAAGACGGGAGAGAAUGUUUCAUUAUAAUCUAUCCCUUCUCGCUGAGUAAAACCCUUGGCUACCAGUCUUGCUUUGUACCUUUCUAUGUUCCCUUUGGAGUCACGUUUCACCUUGUAGACCCAUUUGGAGCCUACUGUUUUGGCUCCUUCAAGAAUUUCCUCUAGGUCCCAAACUUUAUUGGUACUCAUAGACUUUAAUUCAUCUUCCAUGGCUUCUUGCCACUUAGAUACUUCGGUGCUCCUCAUGGCUUCUUCAAAUGAAGUGGGUUCAUCCUCCAUCUGAACUUCUUUGCAUUCAUAGACUAUAUAGUCAUCUGGAAUAGGAGACUUUCUCGCUCUUUGAGGUCUACCAGAAGUUUCUGGUACUGGCAUUUCUUCUUGAGGUUGCUCUUGUUGGGGCUGCUGUUCUUCAACUAUGGGUUCAUUCGGCUCCUGAAGGACAAGUUCCGAAUUAGCCAUAGGCGAAAAAGCAGCAGGUGUUGUCACUACUAGUGUAGAUCCAACAACAACAGGCAGCGUAAAGUAGGGUUCUUGCACCAUGGGAAUGGGCACGAACACCCGCUUCUCUGCAAGGGUAAUUUCUCGCGCUGCCUUGCUCCCCCUGAUCAUCUGAUCUUCUAGAAAACUAGCGUGUCUCGGUUCCACAAACUUGGUAUGUCUACCAGGGCAGUAGAAACGAUAACCUUUUGACUUUUCUGGAUAGCCAAUAAAAUGACAACUUACUGUUUUGGGGUCUAGCUUUCCUAUGUUUGGGUUAAAUACUUUUGCUUCAGCAGGGCUCCCCCAGACACGCAAAUGGUUGACUGAGGGUUUCCUGCCGGUCCACAACUCAUACGGUGUUUUAAGUACUGACUUGCUUGGAACUCUGUUGAGAAUAUGAAUGGCGGUUUUUAAGGCCUCCAUCCACAAACUCAAUGCAGAGUGGAAUAGCUCAUCAUGCUGCGCACCAUAUCCAUUAGAGUACGGUGACGCCUUUCUGCUACUCCAUUCUGCUGUGGGUCCCCUGGCAUUGAAUACUGGGCUACUAUGCCAUUUUCCUGUAAGAACCUCGCAAAAGGUCCAGGAACUUGUCCAUAAGGGGUAUGUCGACCGUAGUACUCCCCCCCCCCCCACGGUCAGAUCUUACUACUUUGAUUUUUCUGUCUAGUUGGUUUUGAACCUCAGCCUUGAAUAUCUUAAAUUUGUCUAAAGCUUCUGAGCGUUCUUUGAUUGGAUAGAUAUAUCCAAAACGAGAGUAGUCAUCUGUGAAUGUGAUGAAGGAAUCAAAACCAUCCACAGAUGUCACUGGAAAAGGUCCACAGAUGUCUGUGUGGAUCAAUUCUAGUACUCCUGUGCUUCGCUUAGUGCCUUUCUUUAUGUUCUUUACUAACUUGCCUUUAAUGCAAUCGACGCAUUGCUCUAACUCUGAGAGUUCUAGUGGUGGGAGGAUUGAUUCUUUAACUAAGCGUUCUAUUCUCCCCCUCGAAAUGUGGCCUAAGCGACAGUGCCAUAAUUUCGAUGAGGAAUCAAUUCUCUUUCUUUUCUUGCUAGCAUCUGCGGGUAUUGCAUUCUCAGCAUUAUUACAUUCAGCAUUCACAUUCUCAGACAUAGAUAAUAAAUAAAGUUUGUCUUGUCGGAAGGCAAGACCCACACAUUUAUUAUUUAACUGUAGCUUACAAUCAUUCUUGCUGAAAUGGCAAUCAAAACCAUAGUCUGACAAACAUGAAACUAAAAUUAAAUUUCUAGCUAAAGAGGGGACAUAAAGAACAUCAUGCAACUCAAGUGUGAAGCCACUAGCUAAAUCUAGAGAUAAAUUUCCUAUAGCUUGAACUUCAGCAGCAACACCAGUGGCCACCUUAAUCUGUCUUUCUCAUCUUUGAAGGGUUCUCCCUCCACUGAAUCCCUGCAAAGAGUUUGCAACAUGAACAGUUGCACCUGAGUCAAUCCACCAUGUGGAUCUAGCAUAACUUAGAUAUAAGGAUUCAUCAACAAAAGUUAUAAUGUCCUCACCUUUCACUAGGCAAUGUUUCAUGAACUUAGGGUAUUCAUGCUUCCAAUGCCCUGUCUCAUUACACCAUCUACAGCGAUCCGGGUCCUCCUGCCUGUGCUGGUUGUCUUGCUUUGGCUGUGCUUUUGGCUGUGAAGAGCUUCCUCCCUUGUUCUCGGAGGUGGAGGCAUCUAGAGCUUUCUUGUUGUAGAAUGGUUUCUUGUUCUUUCCUUUCACAAAGUUCACAGAACCACCAUUUGCAUUCUUGAGCCUUUCUUCCUCUUGCACACACAUAGCAAUCACCUUCUCUAAAUCCCACUCCUCUGGCUGUGUGUUGUAGUUAACAACAAAUGUCUCAUACUCUUUAGGAAGUGAGUUUAGAGCUAGGUGAAUGAUGAAACCAUCAGCGAGGGGCAUCUUUAGCUUCUCUAACUUGGCUGCCAUGGUGCUCAUGCUCAGAAUGUGCUCUCUCACACUCCCCCCUGUGAACCUCAUGUUAGUGAGUUUCUGGAUCAGGGUGGAAGCAUGAGCUUUGGUGGAACCAGUAAACUGAUUCUUCACUUUCUCAAGGUAUUCUUUUGCUGUCUCACAUUCUGGGAUGGCACCUCUUAGGCCCUCUGUGAUGGUUUUCUUGAUGACAAUCUUGCAUUUGCGGUUUGACUUUUCCCACUUGUACUUCUCAAGAUCAUACUUUGCUAUGAUGGGAGCAAAGUCUCGCUUCCGAUUAGCAAAAGCUUCAUCGCUCUCAUUCUGAGCCCUUUCGGGCUCCUCUGGCUCAGUGGGCUUUGGCUCCUGAAGAGCCAAAUCUAUCUCAGCAAGUGCUAGAGCUGCAUCAAGUUCCUCGCGCCACAGAACAUAGUUCUGCCCCGUCAGCUUUGGGAUUGCACUGAUGAAGUGCAUCGCAUUCUGCGCUUGGUCUGAAAUUAAAUAUGAGAAAAUAGUGAGAACAUCAACAUUAAAUCUAGGAAAAAUAAUUGCAUAUCUUAAUUUAACGUUGGUCAAAAUCAAGAUAUACAAAAAUUAACUCUCUACAUAAAUUCUAAUCACUGUUGGGCAGAAUAGAAUAAAUACAUAAAAUUAGAACUUGGAAUUUGUAAUAUUGCUAUUAUUAACGUUGGUCAAAAAAUAACAAUAUCACAAAAAUACUAGGCUUUAAAACUCGUGUCUCAAAUUAAAUAUCCCGUUGGUUCAAUUUAAUAUGAGAACGAAAAAAUAACUUGCGCAGCGGAAAACAUUAAUUUAUUUACUAUUUUUAGAAGCAUAACUAGCUAACUGUGCUUUCUAAUUAAUAUACACGUUGGUGCAAAUUAAAUAGAAUUUAAAACUGAGCAAAACAAAUAUUUAAAUGCUUCUGAAAAUUAAAUAGAAUAUAAAAAAGGAGUUACAUUGCUUAAACGGGCCGUGGCCAACCAUUCGGCCCACGACCUCUUGCGGUCCAGCUCGGACGCUGGCCCAGCAGCGCACGGGUGCUUCUGAGUUUUUUUUAUUCUUGGCUGGUGGCACGCGGCCCAGCUAUCGGUUUUCGGCCCAGCCCAACGGCAUGCGUGCACGCGGGCGCUUGGCGGGCCGCAACCUGGGCCGGUGGCGCGCAUUCGGCCCAGCGCCGAAACCCGCCUGGGCUCAUUCUAGCCCAGCAGCCGCUGGUCGUCCGAUUUGCGGCCGUCGCGAUCGGACGGUAGAGUGCGCAGGUCGGAGGCAUAAAAGCCGCCGGCGCCAGGCUCUCUCUCCCAAACCCUAGUUUCUUUCUCCUUUGCUUCCUUCCUGACUCAGCAGCCGACGGCGCCGGCGCAGGAGCCAGACAGCCGCGGCAAGGGCCUCGCCGGCGCCGGUGAAGACGCCGUCGUUUCGGCCGCUCCCUUUCUCCUUUCUGUGCUUUCUUUUGCUUUUUCUCUCUCCAGUCCACUUGCGCCCAGCUGUAGAGAAGGACGCAGUGCUUUGCCGGCCGGAAAGAGUGGCGCCGCCGCGGUUCCUAUCGCCGGAGCGCGCGCUUCCCGUGGUGGGUGAGCGCGCCGCCGUCGAUAAGAGUCGCGAUGGUGCCCUGCGCUUGGCCCCCAUGCGGGAUUCCUCCCUGGUUUUGACCACCCCGGCCGCUAUGGUCGUGAGGCCGGGAUGGGCUAGCGCCCAGGUAGGGUGUUCCUUUAUUCUUUGUUGUUUGAUCUAUGCUUUUAGGGUUAGGAAAUCCCUUUUCUCGAUCUUUCGCGUUUGGAUCUGGGCGCUAGGUUUAGGGUUUGGGAAAAAAAAUAAAUCCUCUCCUUCUACUUGCUGGGCUUGUUGGGUAAAUCCCGAAAACCCCGAUCUAUUACUAGAUCGGCUGAUACCAUUGAUAGAUCUACAGGAUCUACUAGCAAUAGAAAGAACAGGGAUUCGGGAUACAUAAGUAACAUAGACAGUAACGUAAAUAUGCACACUAGAUCUAUUACAUAGGGAAUAGAAAUAGGUAGAUCUAGAGUAUAGGGUUUUGACCGUCGUUGGUGGCGGGUGCAGAUCCAGUGGGGCCCAUGGCGAGGGCGUUGACGCGGUGACGGAUUAGAUCCCGUCGUCCUUCGGGCCUCCAUCGGCACUGACCGACGACGGCGGGGUAGGAGUAGAAGGGUGACGGCGCGGUGGUGCUUCCCGACGCCACUGCACACUGUCGAUCGGCGACCUAGGGUUGUGAGUAGGGUUUGGCGGCGCACGACGAACUUCGUGUUGUGUGCCAGUAGCCCCCUACUCCUAUAUUUAUAGCGCAGCGCGUCGGGGGCCCACCAACCAUAGAUCGAUUGGGCGCCCCCGAUCAGGGCGCGAUCCAGGGGGAAAGGCCCCAGCCGUUGGGCUGGGCCUGAGAUCAAUCUAACACCAAAAAGUUUUUGGAUUUUGAGAUUAUAGCAUUUUUAUUUUUAUUUGACAAAUAUUGUUCAAUCAUAAAGUAACUAAGUUUAAAAGAUUUGUCUAGCGACUUACAGACAAACUGUACAAUUAGUUUUUGUUUUCAUCUAUAUUUAAUGCUCCAUGCAUGUGCCACCAGAUUCAAUGUAACGGAGAAUCUUGAAAAGUUUUUGGUUUUUAGGGUGAACUAAACAAGGCCUAAAUAACUAGUAGAUACAUAGUAUUUUAUUUCACAUGGAGGAAAGAGAACGUGAAAACUGAGGCCUUGUUUAGUUUCAAUUUUUUUUGCAAAAUAGAUACUGUGGCACAUUCGUUUGUAUUUGACAAAUAUUAUCCGAUCAUGAACUAAUUAGGAUCAAAAGAUUUGUCUCGCAAAUUACAAUUAGGGUUUUAUAAAUGCAUUCCCCCCAUCAACCUUUAUACUCACUUUGGCUUCCCCUUUUAUAGGACACUAUUACUUGGGGAAACCAGUUUACACUCCUAUCCUACGACACAGCGGCUAUGGUACAUUAAUGGAAUACGCUUAGCCACAAACAUAAUUUUAGGGUUACUUUGGGGCAUUCCACCUUGGCAACCGCCUUAAUUCAUGGGCCUUUUCUAGUGCCCACAGAGGCCCAUCUAUCACCUCAAGUUCUAGGCACCGUAGGGGCCUUCUCGUCAGCCUUCACUAGAAAAGCCCCGCCUUCCGCCGCGAUCUGGGCUCAUGCUACUCUGGACCUUCACUGCUACACUACCACCUUCGCCUUGUGCUCCAUCCAAGGAGGGUUCCGUGAUGCCUUUGCCCCUCAGAGCGGGACCUUCGCCAAUGUCGAGGGUGCGGGCGAAGGCUCCUGUCUUUGUUCCUGCCAAUCAAUGAUCAUGUUUCGUGCAUUGUUAGUCUUUUUUCGCUGGUGUAUCCCCUAGCUGCCAUAGCUCAUAGUUCCAUGUCCCAACAAUGUCUAAGAGCAAUUUCACUAGGAACCCUUAAAUUAGGGUUCCCACUUUUGAUUCGAGGGUUAUUCAACUUUUAAGUUUUUUUUGCAUCUAUUGUAACAACUCUCAAAUCCAUUUCAGUAGUCACGGAGACACAAACACAUGAGAUUCACUCGCCAUUCUCUUCCUAUGACCAUAACUACCUUCGCUCCAAUCAACUAAGCUAUGACUGACACGGGGUGGAGCAGCAGUAACCUCAUUAGGGAGGGGUUUGUGCCAAGGGCAGAGGAGCCGAUGAUGAGAGAGUAGCCACGUUGGGGACUGACCUUGUAAGAAUAGGGAAGGACCUCACUAGGGGAUGGGACAAGCACUAGGGAGAGGAGUCACGCUAGGGGAUCGAGGAUGGGGUAAUAAGGGUCUCGUUGGGACGGGGAAGGACCUCACUAGGGGACAAGACAGGAGCUAGGGAGAGGAGCCACAACGGGGAAGGAUCUCACACAUAGGCGGACAAACCUCACUGUGAGAGCCACGCUACAAGGAGGGAGACCCCUUAGGAAGGGGCACGCCGCUAUAGGGAGGGGAGUCACACCACUAAGGUGAGGGGCCUCAUCAGGGAGAGCCGCACCAAGGGAAGGACCUCCUAGGGACGGUGGAGCAUGCAAGCAACAUCGGAUGUGGAUAGAUGGACACUAUCCUCUUGCAUGCUAGGAGGAAAACGAUAACAAGUGUCAGUUGAGGGCCUAGAGUAGGGUCCCAAGAAAAUGAGGACUAGGAGGAAAAUUUGAGGGGCCUAUGAGUUUUUUUUUCUAGUCAUCAAAUUUGGUUUUGAGGGGUCAAGUAGGUGUCCUGCUAGAGAAGGCACCUCUAAUAAUAGUGAGAGUUAGAUAUCGACUCUUAGAUCCAUCUCAUUCAUAUGUUUUAUUUAUAUAUUCUCUCGUGUCAAGAGAGAGAGAUAAUUCAAGUCUCUCAUACAUUUUAGUACGUGCAAAGAGCUCGGCUUUUCUCAACUUCUCUCCACGCUAGUUCCACGCUAGUUCAAAGGUUUUUGGCCUCUCUCCCCUUUGUGUGGUAUCUGAUACUAGCUUAGAGCAAGUCCAAGAGAAGAGCUAUCCAUAUCAUGUAUUCUAUAUUUGGCUAUUUUGGGAGAGAAAAGAGAGUCCAACAGCUAUUGUAUUUGGUUUGCUAAAAUAGCAAGUCAUCUAUCCCGGAGUUCUCGUAUGGUAAAUAUAGCUUGCAUGUCCUGCUAGCCAUAUGAUUUGCCGUAUAGAAAGACCGUUGGAGAUUUUUAUUUUUUUACAUGAUUUUCUAUUUUAGAGGUUGGCUAAAUUUUGAAUUUAGCCAUCUAUUUUUAUCAACUCUCUUAGAGUUGCUCUUAGAGUUGUCCAAUAGAGAUGCCCUUAGCUAGCUCCCAAUUUAGAAUAUACCUAGACUAGAUCGAUAUCAGGCUUGAGAACGCAUAAUAGUUAGAUAUUUAUACCUAGUAGAUCGUUGGGUUUUAAACAAUACCAUACCUUUUUUUUGAGGGGAAAACGAUACCAUACGUGAAAUGGCUCACAUGAAUAUUAGGCCCGAAAACGGUUAUUGGCUAAACAGAAUUGGGCCUUAAAUGGGCGAUUAAAACAGCAAUGAUGCCUCCGUAGACUAGGAAUCGCAUAGACAAAAAGCUGUGACAUGCAUAUGCCUCGGGUGGGCUAUAAACAGGCCUGCGAUGCAGGCCUAUACACAGCCCAAUUUUUUUUGUGAACAAUACACAGCCCAAUUUGUGUACGUACAAGUGCCGGUUGCUUUUUCAGUUUCUUGCCCCAUGGGAAGCAUUCCCCAAUCGAAUCAUCACGUACGUACUUGACUCUGAUCCAUCAUAACACUUGGUGUCCACUAUGCACGCUCGUAGGCAUUGUUUACUUCCACCCAAAAUCUAAAAUUUUUUCAAGAUUUCGCGUCACAUCGAAUCUUUAGACGUAUGCAUGGAGUAUUAAAUAUAAACGAAAUUAAAAACUAAUUGCACAGUUUGAUCGAAAUUUACGAGACGAAUCAUUUGAGCCUAGUUAGUCCAUAAUUAAACAAUAAUUAUCAUAAACAAACAAAAGUGCUACAGUGUACCGAAAAAAUUUCGGCAAGGAACUAAACAAGGCCGUAGUAUGCUGUUAUAUGAUGGAAUCUAAAGAGCCCCAUUUUCUCUUUUAUCUUACCCUCCAGAUCGAGGCCACAAAAUCCUAGGUACAGAACAUCGUCUGUCAGAUGCAUCUGGUUGCAGCAAAGAUCCACACACAUUACAUAGAAUACGUGCACAGCACCAAAUGCAUGCAACGGCAACAUAUGCAUGCAGCACAAUUAGUUGUACAGUUUCCAUGAUUUACAAGCAAGUCCGGAUUCUUUUACUUCAGUAAACCAUCCUCAUAUUGCAAUGAUGGCAUGAUGCAUAUAUAGAGCGGGAGUGGUUAAGGUCGAUGAAUAAUGAAUCACUGAUGAAGCAGGGCAGACAAGGACACGGCAGCGGCGGCAGAGGCACACUGAGCCCACACAGAUGAAAUGAGCAAAUAUAUAGUACGUCGCGUGUAUAUGUUACUAUAUCUUAUUACUUGAACACAUCACUCUCAUGACUCAUGGAUGGAAAACAUCAUGCAUACAGUACAAUAUAUAAUGGACACAAAAGCUAGUAGUAUUCAUUAUUCAGGAAACCUGUGUGCUAAAGCAACAAGGUUAAAGGCAAGCAAACCCCCAAGGACGACGUUGAGUGCUGCUUUGCUAGCCUGCUACACACACACACACGUACGAUCGAGGUACACGACGACAGCCACAGCGACGACAGAGUUGGUGUAAACUCAAGGUAGUAAACAGUAAAUACUAAUUAAACGGAGUGAUCACUAACAGGUACGGUGCAUGCAUGAUCUACUCCUUAAUUUAUGUAUCUAUCUCAUUGCAUGCAUCAUCCAUGGAGGGAGUCAUGGACGACAUCUGGUAAAACAACGACGACUGCAUGCUGAUCGCCAUCCAACGAGCAUGCCUCAUGCAUGUCCUUAUGAUCGAUCAUCAGUUGAUCCUGCACGUACAUAACAUGAAAGAUAUCAAAUCAUGGUUAUCACACUCGAUCAUUAGCAGAAAAUCACUCAUAAUCACUGUGCAUUCAUGCAUGCAUGGACGACAUAUUUAAUCAAUUGGACAGGGUGAAAAACUCAGCCUAGGAGGCGUCGUACUUGGAGCAGUCGACGUUGGGACUAAUGGGCACGCCGACGGAGACGCCGCACUUGGAGGGGAUGCUGGCGGCGUUACCCAUGCUGACGCCGCCGCCGCCGCCGAGCCUGCUCGUCAUGCUCUUGAGGCAGGCGCAGGUGGCCUGGCGGUCGGCCGUCGACGACGCGCGGCUGUUGAGCGAGCGCACCCCGGUGCAGCACGCCGGGGAGGGGAACGCCGUGGUGCCCAUCGCGUACCCGAGGCACGGCGCCACCGAGGAUGUCACGUCGCUGCAGCUCACCGCCGCCGAUGCCGGCUCCGAGGACGCCAGCAGCAGCGCCGCCAGGACCGCCACCGUCGUCGCGACCACCAGGGCGAGGCGUGGAGCAGCCAUUGCAGGACAGAAGAGCAGUGGGGGGUGGUGAGCUGUUGAUGGUGUAGUGGUGUUAAGUGAAGCUGUGAUGGAUGGAGCAAUGGUGGUGCCAGGGGUAGGGUAUAAAUAGGGAGCUUUUUACCUAUAUGUCAUUAUGAAAGAUUGACCAAACCAGGAAGCCACUAAAAAGUGGUUUCGCACCGCUGUGCCCAACUUCAUCUUCGGCUAUACCUGUAUGCCAUUCCGUCCAUUUUGAAGUCUAACGGCAGUUAAGUGGUCUGACAUUUGACUUGAAUGCCCCUGGGCCAAUUGGUCUAGACAACAAAAUCUUCUUGUCCCCAGUGCCACUGACUACCAAUUCACUGACUACCAAUUUCUACGGUGAGCGCCAAAAGGGCUGGACAGAACUGCAAAAGUGGCAUCUUUCAGAAGUUCUAAAUUCCCAUAUUACUUGAAAAAUUCUUUCAUGGUUUUUAGCAUCAUCCAACAGUAAAUCCCGUAGAUGAACAGAUUGAAGAACCCGAUUAAAGCCAUGCCACAAGCGAAAGAAAUGGAACAUGUUUCACAACAAUCUAUGAACUAUGAAAAUAAGGAACAUAAAAAAAAACCGCCAAUGUUUAUCUCAGCUACCUCUCAUUCAUUAGGUAACAUAAACAAAUACAUAGGCUUCCGUUCCAUUAAUGGUCCUUUGUUCCAAGAACACCACGCCAUACAUACUACGGGCGAACGCGACGAGGACCUGGAACUGGACGAGCUUCUGUCCGAGCACCGGAUGGACGAGGCGCUCCAGCUCCUGGAGCUGCGAGGCCAAGCGCUGCAGACGAUGCAGGAGCAGGCCGACGACGACGACGACGGAGCGAUCGCGUUCGCGUCGAGCGUGCGCGCGCUGUCCGCCACGAAGGCGAGGGUCGCCGCCCGCUUGGCCUCCCUGGCGGAGAACCCGCGGACGCCGCGGCCCGAGCUCCUAAAGGCGCUCUCGGGCCUCUGCAGGCUCGGCGACUCGGAGCAGGCGAACCACCUGCUCUUCCAGGUGCACCGCGCGAGCGUCGUCCGCGCGUGGAGGAGCUGCGCGCGUCGCGAGGCCACCACCAGAGCAUCGCCGGCGCCGGCGGCAACUACAUCAAGGACCUGGCGCCAGCGGACGCCGAUGCUGGCGGAGCCACCGAGAGCGCCGGGCCGGCCCUGGCGACCCCGCUUCCUCCUCGUCCCCUCUCCGCCUCAUGCUGCUGCUGCGGAGGCGGCGCGAGGGAGCCGGUGAGGAGCUGCGUGAAGGUCGUCGCGGCCCCGGAGGAGGAGUUGGCGCCUCCGCCUCCGCCGUCGUCGCUGUCAGAGGAGGGGAAGAGCGCUGAGGCGAGCGUGAGCGGGCCCGGGCUGGCGUCACCGGCGCCCGUAAAGAGCGACUCCGCCGCCGAGCGCGGUGGCAGCGCCAGGCGCCGGCGUUGACUUUGGUUUUGGAAGAGGCCGAGCGCGGCCUCGAACGCGGGCUGGAGGACCGCGUGAGGGGCGAUGGACUGGAAGGGCAAGAAGGACAUUUUCCUACCAAGGACCCACGUGCCAGACCACUUAAACGUCACAAAACAAACGGAAUGGGGACGGAAUGGCAUACGGGUAUAGUUGAAGAUGAAGUUGGGCACAGCGGUGCGAAACAAUUUUUUAGUGGCUUCCUGGUUUGGUCAAUAUUUUAUAAUGGCAUACAGGUAAAAAGCUCAUAAAUAGGACCUUGGUAACUCAUCACUUAUUCACUUUUUUUUUUGGAAUUCAUCACGUAAUUAUUUUUUUUUGAGACUGGAACUUCACCCGUUUUUCAUUAAUUAAGAGGGAAUUCAAUCACGUAUUCACUUGGAGAGUGUACGUGUGUGUGUGUGUUAGCUGGAAAUCUGAUGAUGUGGGGCGCGCGGCCCGGCUGGGGAGCUGAUGAGUGAGGCUUUUUGAUAUUGUAUCAUUUUCAUUUUUAUUUAACACAUAGUGUUCAAUCAUAAAGUAAUUAGAUCUAAAAGAUUCGUUUCACGAUUUAUAGAUGAUAAUCUGUACAAUUAGUUUUUGUUUUUAUCUAUAAUUAAUGCUUCGUGUAUGUGCCGUAAGAUUCGAUAUGAUAAAAAAAUUUGAAAAGUUUUUAGAUUUUUGGGUGAAUAAACAAGGCCCGAGUGAGUGCAGGUGAAGUGUUACUGCAGUGGUGGUUGAGCACGCACCAACCAGGGGGAUCGUACGUUUGAUGAGAUGUGAGAUGAGAUGCGAUGCGACGAGGAGAUGAAUGCAUGCACGUGAACCUGCUUCUCGUUUGUAUUCGGACUUUUGGUACGUACAAACAAAGCCUGUGCAAACGUUCAUCAUUGUGCUGCUUGUGCAUAUUGAUAUACACGACAUAUGCACGCUGCAUAUACCCUGUGUACUGUGGUGCCCGUGACUGCCGCCGGGCACAUAACAUAGGAGUAGUAUGAAGUCUUCAAAGUCACGACUGAAAGUCUUUUUUUUGCUAAUAUGUUGUAAAAAAACAUUUCUAAAUAAUUAUUAGUAGAUUCGGUAGAUGAUCUUAAUUAAUAAGUGAACAAGCUAAUGGUUUUAAUUUGUGCUGUGGACACAGCUACAUAGUACGAUGGGAUGGACAGUGUUUCCCACCAGCCUUACCGAGUUUACCGUGCAACGAAUACGCGCCCGUGACACACACACGCUGCAUAUGCAUGAGCCUUGGGCUAUAUAUACCAGUACGCGUACGUACGUACGUAAACGUACGGUCGUAUAUUGUACUCGCGCGCCUACAUAUAUCAUUCUCGGAAUCGUAACAUCCUCCCUCGCUCGGUCUGUCACGAUCAUGAACGUAAGACGUGUUCAUCAACUUUGGAACUGGUGCACAUAGUACUGCUAGGCUAGCUGAACGUACGUCCCAGCAAACACGUACGGAUAGAUAGAUGAUCCAGGACUAUUAGCAAUUAACUGCCUUCAAUUCUUAUGUCGCCGGCCGAUCGUACUGCAGCGCAUGCAUGCAAAUGCAAUAGUAGUAGAUAGAUAGAAUUGCAGUUGUUGAUAGAGCUAAGCAAAAGCACGCAAUUAAGUUCACCUUUAGCUUUUCUUUGCAUUGAACGUGUAACAUGCAUGUUCACAUCUUGAUGAUGGUAGCCUGAAAAUUCUGGUGAGGUAGUUGCCACCUAGCCAAGCAUUGCAUGAACCAACUACUACUGUACGUCCUCUCCGUUCUACAAAGAGAAAGGAGUACAUUUUUAACAUUCUAAACUUGUCUAUAAACCUGUUCUCUCUCUCUCUCUCUCUCUCUCUCUCUUCCACACCACCCAAUCCCUUGACCUCCCUCCCUCCCACAACCACUUUUAGCGUCUUGCAUUUGAUGGCAUAGGUUACGAGGACUCAUAGCAUUUUCAACAUUUUGUUCUAAACUUAGGAUACAUUCUAACAGGAAAUCAGCUCUAAGUAUUUCUCUUCUUCAACAGUUACCAUAUAUAUCAUCUUAAAUAAUAUAUAGGAUGGACAAUAUAUAGUCCACCAUCAAUAUAUCCAUCCACCCACAUAACCCCUCUCUCUCUCUCUCUCCCCCACACCACCCAAUCCCUUGACCAACCUUCAUCCCCACAACCGCAUUAGCAUAUUGCAUUGAUUGCCUCGGUUACAUUCUAAAUCCUUAUAUAGGAUACAUUCUAAUAAAAAAACGUCUCUUCAUAUUUAUUUUUUCUUCAAUGGCUACUGCGUGUCAAAUACUCCAUACAACAUCUUGAAUUUGUAAAGAAGAGAGGAUAAUUUAGGAUACCACUAAAUAUCUGAUAUUGAAUAAGAGGGCCACUGAAGGAUGAUUUUUGUAACAUAAAUCUUUAUUUAAGCUCUAGGGAGACAAAUAACAGGAACUCUUCUAGAUAUCCUUAGUUACCGAGAGCAGUGAGGUUAUUUCUCUUUAUAAUUAUUAUAUUUAUUGAAAUAAGCUACAAAUCGUGUCUUUGCGUGGGACAGGGAUAACAUUAAAGAUAUUAAAAAGUUUUGUCAUUCCAUCAUAUAUAUAUAUAUAUAUAUAUAUAUAUAUAUAUAUAUAUAUAUAUAUAUAUAUAUAUAUAUAUAUAUCCCCACUUUCUUGGUGUGGUGGUACACAAGGGAGGAUACCAUGUUACCUACUAGUACUAGGUUUAAUUAAUUUAAAUUCUGGCACGUGCUAACGGCGUUUAAGAGCAUCCCCAAAGAGUCUUUUUAGAAUUUACUCCAUAGAUUAUCAUUUAGAAAGUCAUUUAAGUGGAACAUCGUUUUCUAUAUAUUUGCAUCCUUCAACAGUUUUUACUAUAUCUUGCGCGCAUUUAGAGACUCAUUCUUGCUUUAAUUUUCAUCUUUGGCUAGUGAGAAAUCUAGAGUAGAGGAUGUCUAUAUUGAAGAUCUAGUUAAUUGAAGAGGUUUGGAGAGUUUUUUUUACCAAAAUCUCUAUUCCUACAAAGUAUAAAAGAUAUAAAAAUUCUUUUGGAGUUGUUCUAACCAGUUUUGUAUGUGUGGGUCAUCUUGAAAUUAAAAAAAAUACAGGCUUCGAAACUAGGGUGUCAUUUGAGAGGCAGCAUACAAAACAAUUAUAAUAAAAAAUCAUUUAUUUUCAGCCAUUAUUUCUUUUUACAUUUUUGAGAAAUAUUAAUUCUUGUACUGUACAUUUUAUGGGAAUUAAUUAUUUUUACAUUUUGUUUUGAGCAACAUUAAUUAUUUUUACAUUGAAUUUGGUAUAAACAGUGUCGAGUUGAGCGAUGAAGGCCUCAGUUGGGCUGUUGUUGUCCAUGGAGUUAUUGGAGUAGUGGGCCUAGCUGGUCCUACUUUUUUUUUCCUGUGUGUGUUGCUGCUUACCCGUUACCACGUUUACUAUUGGGCCUCCAUUAAACUAAUUCCGGAAUGAUCCAUCAGCUUCGCGCCGUGCACACGUGUGUAUACAUGUACACGGCAGCGCUAUUUUAUAUCCUACUGUUAAGUUGACCAGAAAAAAAAUACUUCCCUCCGUUUGUGUUUACUUGUCACCAACUUUUUACUGUAGCAAAUUUGACUAUCUAUUUUUUUUCUUCUAAAAAAUCUUAGAUACUUCAAUAUAUAUAACACUAAUGAAGUAUAUUCAAUAAAGAAUCAUAUAUGUGAAAACUUGAUGUAUCUAAAAAUCUUUUGCAGAAAAAAACAUAUAGUCAAAAUUGCUACAGUAAAAGUUUGGUGACAAGUAAACGCAAACGGAGGUAGUACUAAGCAGUACUCAGUUUCACGAGUACGAACGAUAUUGAAUUUUGUUUAGGCCGUGUUUAGUUCCUACAGCGAAAAAAAUCACGACACUGUAGCAUUUUUGUUUGUUUGUGGUAAUUAUUGUCCAACUAUGGACUAACUAGGCUCAAAAGAUUCGACUCAUAAAUUUCAACAAAACUGUACAGUUAGUUUUUAUUUUCCUCUAUAUUUAAUACUCCAUGCAUACGUCUAAAGAUGCAUGCGUCUAAAGAUUCGAUGUGAUGGGGAAUCUUGAAAAAUUUUGGAUUUUGAGGUGGAAGUAAACAAGGCCUUAGUAUAACAGUUCGGUGUAGAAUAGCACUAUACACUCUAAGAGUAAAAUACUAUUCUACACCAAACUAUGUGUGAAUUAUGGUAAAAGAUCUGUACUUCUACACCAAACUAGAGUGGCCGGCCGGGGUGCUUCUGAUCGAUGAUGAGUGAGCUAAGUAGGGUUUAUAUAGGGAGAAGUGGAAGGCCUUUAAUUUUUCCAUAUCUUUUCCUUAACUUCGGAUCGAAAGAAAAGAACGCAUCCUUAAUAUCAUGCAUGUCAUCAUCAUUUCUUUAGCAACAAAACCCUUAAUCUCAUGCGUAACGUCGGCAUAUGAUUAGAGAGCGUUUUAUUUGUAACUUGUGAUCUCCCUUUUUACCGGCCUCUGCCUUGGACUGAGGAUGGAAAUCUGCCAUGGCGGCCAAGGUCGAUUCAUCUGAUCAGCACGCAGUAGAUAUGUGAGUUGGGAGAGAGUAGUACUGUAGUGGUGGUGGGUUUCGUGUGGGAUUCUGCUUAUGCUGAGUGAGGUUAUUAAGGCAGUGAUUGCUGAUUAGUGAGGCGCGCCAUAAGUUAACAACGAAAACCUACUUAGGACCUUGGAUCCACAGAGCUAAUAUUUAGUUGCUAAAGAUAAAAAUAUUCAGAUGCUAAUAAUUAGCUUGUUUGGAUCCAAACGGGCCGGUCUAGCUAAUUAUAUUAGACAACUACCUCACUACUUGAUCAAAACUAGCUAAUAAUUAACUAUAGCUAAUAUUAGCUAUGAGCUAUUAGCUAGCUAACUAUUAGCAGCUAAUGAAUCCAAAUAGGGAUUUAAUUUAUCACUAAGCCCCAAUUUUCUGUGAAACCUUUGGAUGAUUCAAGUAGUGUGAGAUUAGAGGGAGCGUUUCAGAACUAAAGUUGGUGGCCAUGGCUUAGGAUCUGAGUGGUUUUUUUUCCUUGCCUUUUUUCUAAAAUAAAAGAAAAACAGGCAGGAGUUCUGCCCUGGAUUAAGGAUGGAUCCAGUUUCAGUUUCAGUCAGGUUACGCGAGACUGUGAGAGUUAGUCCAUGGUGCAUGGUAACAGCUUGAUGCUAAACUCAUCCACGUUUCAUUUCAUCUCUGCUGAUCAUCAUCAUUCAUCCACUAACUAGCUAGCUACCACGAUAAAUAAACUGAAGAAGAAUAUUGCACCAACAUUUUAUUGCGGGUUUUCAUCAUGGCCUGGAUGAUCUGCAAAUUUCAGGGCCAUGCUUCUCCAUUGCUUCAGAUUCGACGGUGCUACAAGCCGGAGUGCAACCUCCGAUCCGUCAGUCAGUGUAGGACAUGCACGUCCAUACAUGUCCUGUCCAUCAGCAAGAGAAUGCCACAGGCCGCGGUAGCAAAAGCCAGUGGCUGGACGCUGCUUGUUUUGGUUGAGUUGGUGCCUGACAUUUCAGACCUCCCUAGCUAGCUUAAAUACAUGGAAGGGUACCACGUACACCACACAUGCAUAUAGUAUAGUAUAUGCACGAACUAGUAGCACGUAUCUUCAUAGCUUUCGGAGUAUGUUCUCAGGACAAACCUUUCUGUACAUGGCUCCAACAAGCAGAUGUUUCUUUCGCUCGUCCUCUCUUUGCGUGCAGAUGUGCAGUAACAAUACGCAUCUAUCUAUUACUUUCAUACAAAAAUGCAGCCUACUUCACUGAAUUAUUGAGCACUUUUCUUUUCUUUUUUUUUUACAACGAUGAACUGUGAUUUUCGAUCAGUAUGGGAACCGUCGACGGCCAAUGACUUCUGUUGCUUGACUUGUUUGUUGCACUUUCAAGUUCCAAGCGAGGCUACUCUUGAUCUGAUAGCAAGCAGAACAGAGGGAUAAAAAUGUAUAUGACAUUGUGGUGUCUGGUGGGAGCAGAAUUUGCCCUGUUUUGAGCACUUUCAUUUCAGAGAUAGACACAGAGUUUGCUCUACAGACUACAGAGAAUAAUCCAACGAUAACUAAGUACACAUUGAGUGCAAGAGAUUGCAUCACUAGAGCUAAUGUAUAGGGUAGCCUUUGGGCAAUCUGUUGCAGCCGAAUUUGUUGAGGAUAAUCCAAAAAGAAACACUUACCACAUUGUCUUGUAAAACAGUGCUGCCAGAUCAAUAAAGUUUCAGGACUUCAGACAAUCCUUUGGGAAUAGAAACGAUCUGUCAUCAAUCACUACCUUUUGAAUCACAGAUAGGAGUAUGAAACAAGUAUGCACUCCAUAGUGGCCUACAACAUAAAAGAAAGUUUGCUUUAGAACAUUUUCUCAAACUCGAGUUUGCUUUUGAACAUAAAAAGUAUUAUUCUGAUCUGCAACAAAGUUGAGUAAGGAAUGGAGAAUUACCAACAACACGGCCAAUGGAGCUACGAUCCCUCAGCGAUAAGACCCAGCACACAAGAGGGGCUCCUGCAGUUCAGACCGUUCAUUGCUCCAUGCAGUUUGUGACAACUGUAUUUGGUUCUCUAUUUUACAUGAACUUGACUGUGCGCAGCAUGCUUUGAACCGCUGCAUCCAAUCACCUUUGUUCUCAGAUGUUCAACAUCAUCCCACCGUUCUGCUUCUGCAUACGCAUUUGAUACUGUGAUAACAUCCCCAUCAUCCAUUGGCAUCAACUCAUGCAUUCUAUGAACAGCUCUGUCAGCAAUGUCAAAAUGCCCAUGCACUCUGCAUGCAGCCAUAACCAUCUUCCACAGCACAGAGUUUGCCUUGACGGGCAUAUCAUUGAUCAUUUGAUAAGCCUCGUGAACUUUACCAUAGCGGCAGAGCAUGUUGAUUAUACAGCCAUAGUGCUUCAUGCUUGGCACAAUUUUGUAGUCUUCGAUCAUGCUCUUGAAAUACACUCUCCCCUCAUUCAAUAGGCCGCUGUGGCUGCAAGCAGUCAAAACACCCAAAAACGUGACAUGAUCAGGCUCAAUAUUCAUAAGAUCAAACAGCUUAAGGGCAUCAUGCGAGUGGCCAUGGACUGACAACCCAACAAUCAUCGUGUUCCAGCAUGUAACAUCCUUGAUUGACAUGCUGUCGAAGACUUGUCUGGCGAGCUUCAAGUUACCACAUUUUGCAUACAUAUCAACCAGAGCGUUGCCAACAUACCCAUCAGCUUCAAUUCCUUUGCUCUUAAGGUAAUCAUGGAUUCCCCUCCCCAGCUCUAGCUCACCCACCUCCGCACAAGCCCCAAGAGCCGACACGACUGUUAGCUCCGUGGGUUCGAUGUCAUUCUUCCACAUAUCUCGGAAAACGUCUAGUGCUCGGCUAUACAUCCCGAGCUUUGCAUAUCCACUAAUCAAUGAGUUCCAAGAUAUGACAUCCCUCUCAGGCAUGUCUCUGAAAAUUCUCGCUGCCUCGACCAAAUCCCCGAGCCUCACAUUUCGCAUGAUCUCAGAGUUCCACCAUGAUAUGUUCCUUUCUGGAGUUGCCUGAGAGACACGCUCUGCACCCUGCAAGUCUCCAGAGACACCAUGAGCCACGACAAGUGCAUUCCAGGAGACGGCAUUCUUCACAGGCAUUUCAUCGAACGCCUUCCUCGCCUCCCCCAGACGACCGAACUGGCCGUACAUGGACACGAGCGCGUUCUGCACGUACCGAUCCUGCCCGCAUCCCAGCUUCAAGACGCGGCAAUGCAGCUCGGCGCCCUUGGCAGCAAACACGGCGGCGCGAGCGCGACGGCUGAGCCUGAACGCGCGGGCACAGGAUUUGAGGAGGGCCGGGAAGGCGGGGAGCGGGGUGGGGAUGGAGAGGGAGGAGACGUGGUUGAAGAGUGUCAGCGAGGCGGACGGAGCCGGCGACGAGGAGAAGGCGGAGAUCACGGGGCAGAAGAGGGACGGGGAGAGCACGCACGGAGGCGCGGCGAGGAGGAGGGAGAGGGAUGACGGGGAGGCGGGCGGGAGGUGAGAGAGGAGACCGGCGAGGCAGGCAGGGUGGUGGAGGAGGUCGAGCUUGGCGAGCAGUGCGUGGAGUUGGUGGCCAGUGGCGGCGGCGGAGCUCCGGCGGGGGAGGCGCCGGAGGAGGCGGAGGACGGCGGCCGGAGUGUACGGGUCGGGUGGCGCCGGUGAUCGCAUGGGCUGGCUGUUCGCAUUGCUGGUGGGCUGAUGGGCCGCAGGGUCCACUACAGCUCUGCUUGUCCCGACAAGUGGGCCCAGAAGAUUUUGCUAGGAGUACAUUAGGUGCUGUGUGCUUCCAUGCCAUUUUACAUGCUGCCAUGCUCCCAUUUCAAAAAAGACCAUCAAAAUGUGCAUGUUUUUUUUUAAAAAAAAGUACGGAUACAUGAUGAAAAAAAUGCAUGCUCAUGCAAAAUUUGAGAUCUACCGGAAUGAGGUCUAGUUGAAGAACUUAAGUUUAUGUGUAGUUCUAAUUUCGUUGAAUUUUCUUGUAAUUUCGUAGGUAGGGCCAGAAACUGAGCUGCCCAUGUGUGUUGGCUGCUUUGGUUAUGAGUGUAUUGAGGGAAAGCGCUUAAAAGCUCUAUCCCAGAUGAUGUUAAGCCGCCAAAUUAAAAAAAAUAGAUAUAACAGAGUUUUAUUUGAGGAGGAAAAAACAGAAAACUAGCCUGAAAUAGAAACAUAUCGCGGGACUGAAUGAACAUUUCGCUCUAACCCAAUUGCAGGUUCAUUAUCUUAUUUUCUCCUAGCACAAAACUUUGUUGAACCUAAAACUUUGCAUGAACAUGUACCUUUGCAUCAUGUACCCAAUACAUUUUUGGUUGAUUUUUCAUGCUCAUUUUGAUGAUUUUUUUAAAAAUAGGAGCAUGGGUGCAUAGGAUACAAACUCCUGUCAGCAUACAACGGUGAGCGGGGGCAGUAAGCUCUUGCUACUAGCAAGAUAAAAUGUGAAGGGUAAAGAAAAAGUAGGUAAUAGCAGCAUACAACAAUCCAAUACCAGCAUAAGCACAUGCAGCAACAACAAGGCAUGCAACACCACCACCACCACCACCAGUAUCCGGACCAGACAGUGUUGGUGGCAGCCAUCCUCUAGGCCCACCACGGUGAGCGGGGGGACCACCAUGGCCACACUCAAUAACAUUGAUAGUAUGUCGUCGGCUCAUUCCAAGCCUACCAUGACAAUGGUGGUUGGCGAGGCGAGGGCAGCCCAAAGGCGACAUUGGUGUGGUGAGGCCCAGUGGCGGAGCCUCUUGGAGGUGAAACUAGACAGUUGCCCCCCUGUCUCCGAUGGAAAAUGAUGAGUAGUAUGUGCAGUUCACAGGAAAAGGAGAAAAGGAAUACCUACAGUCUACAAUAAGAGAAGAAAAGACAGAGAGCAAGGAAAGUGAUGCCUGAGAACAUAUGGCUCAUGGGAAUGUGUGCUUUGUGUGUUUAGAUUCUUGCUUAUUUUUAGCUGAAGUUUAAUAGCUACAGUAGUCUAUUUUGAAAUUAGCCCCUCCUUGAUUUUCAUUCACCCUCCGCCGCUGGUGAGGCCAUCACCGGUGGAGGUCAUGUAGGUCAGAGGUGAGAUCUAUGGGGGUGAAGGCGAAACACGGAGAGAGAUGGGUGAUUUAGUGGAAAAAGAGAAGGAAUAUUUUCUAGCAUUUUUUUCAUGUGGACCCCACUUGUUGACAAGUGCACUAUAAAGAAUCUACAACAACUUACUAGCGGCUGGCACAUGGCUCAGUAGCUCACAACUCUAUAAUCCACACAUAGGUAAGAUACAUUGUCUACCCUUAUAUACCUAUAUUAAUUGAAGAGAAGCUCAACUUUUAAAUUAAAAAAAAUCAAAUGCACUAUGUAAGUGUGCACGUGUGUGCAAUCGUGUUAUUGAGCACAAAGAUAUGAGUACUAGAAAACUCCAUUGGUGGAUGGCAAUGCGACUUCUGUAACCAACUUAAAAGCACAUCAGUACCGAGUUCAAAUGUGAUCGAUGAUGACAAUUAGAGGUGUUGAGGGUUCUAGGAUUUAUGAGGUAUGGACAGAGGAAGAGCAAGAGCAAAAUAUAGGGGUUUCAUUUAUUUGCCAUAUGGAUAUAUAUAAUUAUAUUUAUAUUGUAGAGGUAUAUAUACAGUGAAAAUUCGAUCAUAAUUAUUAUUUUUAAGUUUUGAUUUGCCCCCCUUCCCCCAUCCUCCCUCUUCUCCAUGCUAAAGAUAGCAUCAUCCUCUAGUCACCAAGUAGCUUAGGCAAAGAGAGGGGGUGGGGUUGUAACAAGGGGUGUCAUUGAGAAGAUCAUUAGCGAGGAUGUGGUAGCAGAAAUAUGAACAACAAGCGGCGUGGAUGUUUGAGGAGUCUAAGAAAACCUAGUUGUUGGUACAGAAUAGAGAUAUGGUGAUGUGGCAGGGUAACUGAGAAAACGCAGGAAUAUCCAAGGUGAGAGAGGGUGGAAGGGGGCAUUCAAUAAGUGAUGUGUUUCCCAGAUUUGCUCUUAUAAAUUUGUACGAAUUUCUCUCCUAUUGUGAGCUAUGUUGUAGUUAUUUUUCACCCACUGUACAUCUUUAUUAUUUGGUGUUCAGAACAAAUAAAAUUACUAAUGGCAACAUUUUUAGCAAAGAUAAUAAUGCCAAGACAUAGUUUCUGCUUGCUAUGUUGAUGCAAUAAUUUAUAGGAGUCUUAAUUCUUUAACAUAAUUGACCAGUCUUAAAAUGACAUAUCCUAUGGUUUUAAGUACCAGCCUUCCAAAACAAGUGGGAAACUAAAAAGAUAGGUAAAUAAAUCUUUUAUAUAUACAAUUGGAAAACUAAGAAGCUAACAAAUAUAUCAUAUAUACAUUGGCACAACUGAUAUAUCAUUUAUAAACACCUAUAUACAUGGAAAACUUAUUACAACCACAAGUGUGCUCUUGUUUUUUCAAACCUCGAAGAAGCUUCAAUAUAUUAUGGUAGAUAUCCUUAGUUUUGAUACAUGUUCUGGCAUUUAAAUAUGGUAUCCUUAUUUUUAAUACAUGUUAUGACAUUUAAACAUGGUGCAAGUCUUUGUCAUCUACCUAUAUUGUAAGAUUACCUAAUCAUAAUAUAUUAAUAUAUUAUUAUACACAACAAACUUGUAAAAGAAUAAAAGGUAGCAAAAGGAAAUUUAUAUGUCUAACAAUUUUAUCCAUAUUAACAAUAGCUAACCUCAUGUAGUCAUGUGUCUACAACUCUAGCUUCUAUGAUGGAAUGACAAACCCCCCCCCCCCAAAAAAAGAUUCUUGGGGCUAGAUGCAGCAAACAUGCCCUAUGCACCCUCAUCUUCUUGUCAUACUAUCAUCCAAGGUUGAACUAGACUUGAUUAUGGGCCACACAACAUGACCAAUCUGUUUUGACCCGCCCAAAAGAAACCUAACCCGGUAGUGCAUCAGGUCAAGUUGGGGUCAUAAUAUUUGACUCAAGAUUGGAUCCAACCUAAAAACCUAAAGCAAAGUAGAAAAACCUGAGAAAUAGCUUGACAUGACCCUACCUGUCGUGCAUCAGGUCUAGCUUGGGCCAAAAAUUUUGAAAACCAACAUUUUUUCAACCUGACCCGACUUUGAAGGGAAAUUGGGCAAGACACAAAGUAUAGCUUGUGUAUCAAUGAUUUUAUUAUCUUUUCAUUUAACCAAUAUGCUUUUCUUUAAUGGCUACACAAGACAUUGAUUUUACCAACCGUGUUCAUCAAAUAACACAUAUCAUAUUCUAGACUCUCCAUGUAGUUGGUGGUUGGUGGCAACAGUGCAGGGCUCUAGUUUUUAAUGAUGAGUGGGUGUAGAAGAUGACCCAACACAAAUAAAAAAUAAUGGGAGUUUAUCAAUGUGAAUGAAAAAAAAGAAAUUACAACUUGUUGUUUGGAAAAUAACACAGAGAGGAGAGAUACAUUUGACAUAGGAUUUUUGACUCAUAGUGGAUCAUUAACGAUGAAGAGAGUUAGAAAUAAUCAAUUCAUUUUCUUUUAAAUAAAUUAAUAUUUGAUGAUAUGGACCCUCAUUCUACCCUAGGGCUUGAUGGCAUGCAUGUGGUAUUUUACAAAGAGUAUUGGGACUAGGUAAAAGAGGUGAUGUUAUAAAUAUUCAAACUACAUAUAUACAAAUGUACCCAACUUGGGGAGACUUAAAUAAGAUCAAAUCUCUCUAAUUCCAAACUUAAGGGAGACCAGUACUAUAAAACGAUAUAGGCCAAUAUACUUACUCAAUGUGGAUCACAAGUGGUUUACUAAAGUAUUAUUCGCAAACUCGCACUAGUAGUAGAGAAGAUCAACACAUACAUUCAAAGGGAGUGCUCAUAUACAUGAACUUUCAUACCUUUGGGGUGCAUAAAUUAUUCCCAUUUCAUGUGUUUUUCUCUAUGAAAAAACACUGAUUCAUGUGACAUUACUAUGUGAUUCCCAUGAAAUUCCUGCAUUCCAAAGGGACCGAGUGAAAAAUGCUAUUAUUUAAAGUUGGAUUUUGAUAAAUCUUACGAUAAGAUAGAGUGGAAAUUUAUAUGGGAGAUCUAGAGAGUAAAAACUUUGCUAGGGAAUGAAUGGAGAGUUUGGAUGAGACAACUUAUUUAAGGAAGAAGAGUGGGUAUCACCAGUGGCGUUCAUGGAAAUUCUUUUUAAGGGAUUGAGACAUGGUGAUCCACUCUCUCCAUUGAUGUUCUACCUUGUGCGAGAUGCUCUAUAAACUGUUGUGGGAUGCUAGGGAUUGUGUACAUAUUAUUAGAGGACUAAUUCCCCAUCAUAUAGAUGGAUGUAUUACACUUAUAUCCUGCAUAUGAUGCAUUCAUUUUUUAUUGAAAAUGAUGGAAGGUAUUGCUAACAUCAAAUUUCUGUAAUGUUGUUUUGAGACUAUAUUUGGCCUAGAAAUCAACUAUCAAAUGAAUGAGGUGUUUAUAGUAGGAAUUAAUGAACUCGAGUAGGAAAAAUUAUAGAUGUUUUUAACCAUAAAACAAGGCACUUAUGAAAUACCUAGGCAUUCUAGUUGAUGUGUAUUAUACGAAUAUGGAGAAGUUUGGGUAUGUCUACCAAAAAAUAGAGAAGAGAGACCAACAUAGCAUAGUUGUAUGCUAUCCUAUAUGGACGAAAAAUAAUUUUGUGCGAAUCAUGCCUAAGUUCAAUCCCUAACUAUGUGAUGGGUAUGUUCAUUUUUAUGAGUGCACAAAUGGAAACUUCUAGAGAAACCUUUUUAUAACAUGGGCAAGGAAUAAAAAAGGCAUCAUAUAGUGAAAUGACGUAUUUCAUACACCAAAAGAGAGAUGGGUUGACUUGCUUUUACUUACACCAGAGUGAUGAAUAAGCGUCUUCUAGCGAAAUGGACAUACAAAUUGGAAUAGGGAGACAAUAGUCCAUAUUGUGAGUUGCUCAUAAACAAGUAUUUUGGAGAAAAAGUUUCUUUAGUUCUAACGACUAACGUACAAUAGAGGUGGUUCAUAGUUUUGAUUUGGGCUACAAGAAGCUAAAAAUGAGUUUCUAAGAUGAUUAAAUCACAUAGUUCAUAAUGGGAAAAGACAAGAUUUUGGCUAGAUGUUUGGUAACUAGUAGGAUUGGACUAUGGUAAAAGUAAUGAGGGGAGAUAAGAUGAAGUUAAGUUUUAGGAGGAAUAUUGGCACAAUUGAAUGCUCAGAAUGGGAUGAGAGCAGAUCUAAUAGACUCAGUUAUACUUAGUGAUGAGGCAAAUACACUAUCUUGGGCGCUUGAUAAAUCUAGAGAAGUGUAAGCUAUGUGGACUAAGAGAAACAUGCGAUCAUAUUAUUAUUAAGUGUAUUGUUGCACAUUUUGUUUGGUGGUGUUAUAUAGAAGUGCUUCUGGAAUACUAUGCCAAUGUUCACACAAAGAUUUUCUAGUUGGAUAUCAUGUAUGCUCAAAAUAAAAGGAAGAGAGAGAUUUUGAUUUACUUGCUGGAGUGUAUAUGUUGGAGUCUCUGGUUAUUAAAAAUGGUAAAGUAAUAGAAAUGUAGUUGUGACUUCACCUCACCAUUCAUUGUUCUCUCUGAUUUUUAUGUAGACAUGGAACAUUCUCCUAAAGGCACAAUAUCGAUGAUGGGUGUGUUCCAUGUAGUUUUAUGUAGACAUGGAACAUUCUCUAGCACCUUCAACAAGCGAUGAUCCUGCGCCUUCAGGAGAAUGUUCAAUGUAGUUUUAAUGUAGAGGGAGUUUCCGUAUGGUUGUGAUAACAUUUGCUUCAUAAGUUUGUGUGACAAACCCUAUAAGCUAGUGUCCCAACCUAAAUUGCUUUCUAUAUAAAGUUGGGCUGAUCUGUCUAUGGUCUAAAAAAAAUAAAGGAUAUGAGAACUGGAAAACCUCAUCAAUGGAUUUCAUGGGACUUUGUGAGCAAAUGAUUGGAUAACCCAUGACACCACGUAGAUUCAAAUAUGAUGGCGAUGAUGGAGGUGGUCAGGGUUAGGGUGCUUAAGGGGUUUUCCAUGUACGGUUCUAAUCGCUAAUACCAAACUUUGAAGUUGCAACUAAGAAAUUAACGGCGGUGGUCUAGGAAGCAAUAUAAAUGGGUGGUGCCAAUUGUCAAGAGACCAUUAUACAACAAAUGCAUGGUGAUAAAAAUAUUUGUGGCAACCUAGUGGUGCAGGAACAAGAGGUGGCAAUGGUUUGCUUGGAUGUUGCCGGAGUUACUAGCUUGUUGGUGGACGAAGAGGAGAUUGAGAUGCGAUAGGGCAGCCAUGAUAUUACUAGAGUAGCCAAAGGCAUCAGUAGUAGCAUGCUAUGCUUAGCUUGCAUCGUUACAAAAUAUAUAUAUGAUGUUGUUAGUUUGGAUAGCUACCUUGCAAUCGUAAUAUAUUUUUGAGUGUUCACAACUAAUAAAUGACUAAUGGCAAUAGUCUUAACAAAGUGAAUAAUACCGACAACAUGAUUUUUCGAGUGCAUAUUACUUAUUACACAUGAUUUUAGGUUUCGUAAGCUAAAUAUUGCAGAGGAUAAGCUUAUUAUCUUUCAUACAAAGAAAAGAAACUUCAAUAUAUCUCCUUAUUAGUCAUGAUAUAAAUCCACGAUGUGCAUCAUUUCAUAAGAUAUAAAACGGUGUGGAAGUCUUUGCCAUAUACCACUAUCGCAAUUAUGACCAAUAAUUAUCCCAUGACAAUUUGUAGAAAAAGGAUAGCAUAAGAAAAUUUAGAUGGUAUAUUUCCUAUAUAUAUAUAUAUUUUAAAUUAAAGAUGUUUUGGCUUUUCUCCUAGAUACAUAUAUUUGUUUUAUUACUAUGUAUUUAGACACAGUGUAUGUCUAAGUAUAUAGCAAAAGAUACAUAUCUAGAAAUAUUAAAAUAUCUUAUAGUUUAGAACAGAAGGAGCAGUAGACUUAGCCAUAUCUACAUACUAUUGCUAACCUUGUGUGUCUAGAGGCUACAACUCGGCUCUAAGAUAUUUUACAAUAAGCUCGCAUGUAAUCUAGAAUUUUUUAGAUAGUGAUUUUGAAGAGACGACGAACUCCAAAAGAUUCUUUAGAGCAAAAUUUACAGGACCAAACCGUUAAUCUUCUGGCCACAUGAACUAAUCCGGCUGUGUGAAGGGGAGAAAUAUUGACACACCGUGUAUUUUUUUUUUGAGUCACCGUGUUAGUUCUUUCGAAAAUUAUGAUUUUUAGCGUCACAAUUUUGACCAUCGGCUGUAACGUCUCUCAAUGGGUUAGGUAGUGGGGUACAUACGACAUAUUUUACCAACUCUGUAAACAUCGUCAAAAUUAAAUAACUAGUAGCAUCAUCAUCAUUACUCUGAUGCGUUUCAAGGAUGCCGCCAAAUUUAGGCGGCGAAAUGCCAUUUUGAAUUUCAAUUUCAAAUUCCCCGUGGGCGCAGCCGCGGCCUGCACACCAGGAUACCCUCCCAAGCCGCCGCCGCCGCCGCCGCCUCCUCCUCAUCUUCUUCCUCCUCGUGUUCGUCUUGUUCCCCUCCGGCCGCGCAGGUUGAUUUGAGCGGCCGGCGUCGAACCGAAUCCCAUCCCAGGAGGACCAUCAAAAGCCGCCGCGCGCAGACAUCCAUCCAUCAUCCCAUCCCGCCCGUGGUCGCCAUUGCUCGCCGCACAGGGCAGACGUGUGCACACCGCACACGCCAACUCACUCGCCAAGAACAGAAGAGGGAACAGGAAACUGACGAGCUGACGAGAGGGCGAGAGCGACAAAAAAAACUGACCCUUUCUCUCACGUUAAAAUCCCCCCCGCUCCCCGUCUGCGCUCUCCACACCCCCCAGCAAUCCCUACCCUAAUCCCUCCCCCGCCGCCGGCGCCCAGAUCGCAUCUGCGCCCUCGCCGAUCGCCUCCCGUAACCCCCACACAGCGCAAGCUCCUCGCGCCGUUCGUCGAUCGCCGGCUGAAGCGCCCGCCGCCUGUAAGCGGUUGGCCGCCGGGAGGAAGAGAGGCUCUCCGCUCUCGUAGCGUGUUUCGGAUCGGGCUCCCGCGAUCGACCAUGGUGGACGUCGCUGAGUGCUCGGCGGCGCCCGUGCCCGUGCCCGAGGACGAGGUCGAGCCGGCGCACCCGGACCCCUCGUCGAUCCCGCCCGACGCCUGGCGGCGCUUCGAGAGCGCCGCGCUUGGUGUGGUGAACAAGAUCCAGCCCACCGUCGCCUCCGAGAACUUCCGCUCCGCCGUCAUCGACUACCUCAAGCGCCUCCUUGGAUCCCGCGCAGGGGUUCAGGUACUCUACUUGCUCUGCUCUGGAUCUACCUUCCCUGCGGCUACAGUUUUGUUUUGCAGUCCUAGUGUUCUAGUAUAGCUUAGAGCUCUCGGGCUUUACGCAUCAGUGUCUAGAUGUUUGCUCAGUCUCUGCUGCGAUAUGAGCAGCCAUAUCUGGGUGCUUUGGGAGGAAUUUAGUCACUACUGUCUCAGUGCCCUUGUUCAUGUUUUAGGUCAUGGAAUUGAAUAGUUAGGGUUAACAUGCUGGCUGUGUGUUCCUGCUGUAGAGUUGGUUGUUGCCAUUCUUGCCAUUUCAUUUUUAUGUGUUUUUUGGCGCGAAACCGGUAUAUAUAAGAGCUUGUGUUUUUAAAUUCUUGUCGUUUGUUGCGUGUCAAGGUGCGUGAUUAUGAGUAUAAAUGUGUAACGGUAUGGAUAUACUUUGUCGGUUGCGCACUUGAGUCUCUAUGUGAUUUGGUGAGUAGGACUACAGGACCUUUUAUGGCAUACAAAACCUAGAUGUUUCAUCAGUCUCUGCUAUGCUGAAAGCUUGUCAUAUCCUUCAGAUCACUCCAAUGGCUGUUUGGGUGCUUUAGGAGGAAUGAGUGCUUUAGGAUGAAUCAGUCAUUACUGUCUCAGUGUCCCUGUUCAUGUUUUAGGUCAUGGAAUUGAAGUUAGGGUAAACAUGUUGGGUGUGUUCCUGCUGUGGAGUUGGUUGUUGCGAUGCUUGCUAUUUAAUAAUUGCUGGCAUGUGAUUUUUGGUGCGAAACUGGUAAUAUAGCGAGCUCUUGUUUUUAAACCCUUUUCAUUUGUUGCUGGGGUCCUUUAGGUGUCAAGUGAUUAUUGGUGAUGAGAGUAUAAAUGUGUAACGGUAUGGAUAUACUUUGUCGGUUGUGCACUUGAGUAUCCACGUGAUUUGGCGGGCAUGACCUUUAAUGGGAGGGUGAACUAUGUGUUGGCAUGUGUUUUUGAGUACCGCAUUAAACGCAGCAAAAUUGUUGAUAGUGUAUUGGAGGUCUGGGCAUGCCAUUUAUCUUAGUGUCUGUUUUAGUGACGUGUCCCUUCAAACAUUGCUCAUGUUAUUUGGAAGGAGCAGCUUUGGCCUUUUGUUAUGCCUCUGUCAAGGUGUCAGGACAUCUUAAACUGAUUUAUUCUAGCAACCUGACUCUAUCUAAGAUACAUUAUUUGAAUAUAUAACAUGUAUAUCAUUAAUUGUACAUUCUUAAGAUGUGCUCUAGAAGCAUCAUAAAUUAUGGUACAAAUGAAUGAUCUUUGUGUUUGUACAUGUACAAAUAUUGAAUAUGUAACUGAGUAAAACAUGGAACUUUGUGAUUGAGUGGCGUUUCUGCAUUUAUAUACUUAAUUACUCAUAGAUAGUUGCUAGGAUUGAUUGUAUCGUGAAAGGAUUAUAUGUAAAUAGCCAUGAUAGUUUUACCAAAUUUAUGCUACAAUUGUUGUAGUGUGAUGAUUGUACCAAACUAUGAUCCUAUUCCUAUCUAUGAGUGAAUCGGUAGAUAAAUCUAGGAGUAUAUGGUGUAAGGGUUUAAAAUUUUACUCAUGUUUUUGACUUGGCUGUCGUUGUUAAGGUUGUUUUGGAUUGCUGUUCAUAUGAGUGGACACAUAGAUCUGGCAGACAUGUGUCACAAUUUGAGAGGUAAAUUGGCUACAAGGCUUACAGGGAUAAAUUCAGUUGUUUAAUAAUAAGCCACUAAGGCAUGUUUUAGUGGAUUACUUGUUUGCUUCCUCUGCAUGUGCCUGAGUGAGAUAUCGCAAUUUUACCAAGGUUUGGUGCUGUCUUAAUGCUAUAUUAAUGCCAUUUCAGAGGGAUUGUACUGCAAACUUAACCUUUACGUUUGUAAAACAUAGGUCUUCCCAUUUGGGUCUGUUCCACUGAAAACAUAUCUUCCUGAUGGAGAUAUCGACUUGACUGCAUUCAGCCCUGCGAUUUCUGAUGAGAAUCUAGCAAAUCAAGUCUAUGCUAUUCUAAGUUCAGAACAGCAUAGGAAGGAUUCUGAAUUUGAUGUCAAGGAUGUCCAGUAUAUCCAUGCUGAGGUAUUUCAAUUUACCAUAUUGCUCUGUGUUUCGAAUGCAUAUAUAUGCAAUUUGAGGUCAAACAUUGAUAUAUCAUCUUUUGGAUUUUUCACUUUACUGGAGGUGUUUGUUUCAUAUGACCACUUGUCUAAUUAACAUACUUCGAAAUCCCUGCACUCGUACAUAUGAACAUCGAUUUAUGUGCAUUAUGUAAAAAAAAUGGAAUUUCCCAUUUCUCUAUACUUGAAUGCAACUCUUUGUCUUGUUUAAUUAUGACAUCGGUGGAGCAUAUGAAUGUGCCGCUAUUUCUAUAGGUGAGAAUGUUAUUUCAUGUAUUGUUAUCCUAUGAUAAAUCUUCCUUAUGGGCUAUGGCAGGUUAAACUGGUAAAAUGUCUUGUACAGAAUAUUGUUGUAGAUAUAUCUGUGAAUCAAAUUGGUGGACUCUCUACGCUCUGUUUUCUGGAGAAGGUAAUAUUUCAAUGUUGUUUGGUUCUUGCUGUUGUCUUUCCUUAAACCUCAGAUCUGGUACUUGUAUAAUCCUCCUUUCCAAAUUAUAAGACGCUUUAACUUUUAUAUUAUAGACGCUUUAACUUUCCAAAUUAUAAACUACAUAUCUAGAAAAGCCAAAACAUCUUAUAAUUUGAAAUGGAGGGGACAGUUAAUAACAUAAAAAGCAUUUUACAAGGACUACUGCCUUCUUCGGAGUUGCUUAUGCCUUCAUUUACAGGUCGAUGAAAAUUUUGGAAAAAAACACCUGCUCAAACGAAGCAUAGUGCUUAUUAAAGACUGGUGUUACUACGAAAGUCGCAUCCUUGGUGCUCAGAAUGGAUUGCUAUCUACGUAUGCCUUGGAGGUUUUAGUUCUGUACGUUUUCCUUAUCUUCCACAGGUCCUUGGGUGGUCCCUUAGCUGUAAGUUUUGGCCUGAACUUUGCUGUUGCAUCUAUCAGUUUUUUGUGACCUUAUCAAAGUUCUUCAAGAUAGAGUACUUCCCAGGGGUGAAUGACUAUCUGCCCUUCUGCAGGUCCUCUAUAGGUUUCUCGAUUUCUAUAGUAAAUUUGAUUGGGAUAGCAAGGGAAUCAGCUUGUUUGGUCCUGUUUCCUUAUCUUCACUACCUAAUCUAGUUAGUAAGUAAAUGAACUCUCAAUAAUGCAGUAUGUUGGCUUGAUGCAACGUAAAUUUAUUGAUCAUUGACAUGACUUUUAUUCAACAGCUGACCCUCAUCUACCAGCUAUUGAUGAUGAUUUUUUUGUUCCACGGGAAAAGAUUCUUAGAAAAUAUGCAGAAGAUUUUAGUGCCCCUCCUAGAAACUCUGAGAGAGACGCACAAGUAUUUUCUCGGAAGUUUCUAAAUAUUGUUGAUCCACUGAAACAGAGUAAUAAUCUUGGACGCAGUGUCAACAAAGGUAUUGUUCUGCCUCUUGAUGUGAAUUGUGGUAGUAGGGACUAAUCAGGUACUAUGGUGAUUUCCUAAAAAGAUUCAAGCUUAAUUGUAUUAUUCCAUGUGCAGGGAACUUUUACCGAAUACGUAGCGCAUUUGAUUUUGGUGCUCGUAAGCUUGGGAAGAUUCUUCAAAUGCCUGUCUGUUAUACUGUCAAUGAAGUGAAUCAGUUCUUCUCGAACACAUUAAAGAGAAAUCAUACUGGGUUCAGACCAGACGACGGCAGUUCACCUUUAUACAGCAAUCCCUAUGGUGAUCUGUCUUAUCAGUUUAAUAACAUCUUGAAUGAUCUCACUGGAGAUUUCGAGAUAAACUUCCGUAAUCUUCAGUAUGCGCAAGGGUUCCAGCAAGUUAAUCCAGCAAACUCAUUUUACUAUGGAAGGCUUGCUCCACCACCCCUGCAAUAUCAGAACACGCACCCUUCAGAUAGUCAGGGAAGAAAAAAUCCACAUGCAUAUGCUAGCAUGAAUGGAGCAAUCCCUUGUCCUCCUUACCCAUCUGGUUGUCUUGCGUGGAGGCCAUUUAUUCAACCAGAUGAUCCUAUGGCUAUGAGGGCCCGUGGAAUAGGCACCUACUUUCCUGACCCAGUAUGUUCCCUCCAUGGACAUUCUAGAUAUGCUUGUAGAACUUAAAGUAACAUUUCUGAAUAAUCUGUAUCUGUCACUUGCCAUGUGUUCUUUUUGUUUCAAAUGAUGUACAUGUGCGCACAUAUUAAUGUUCUUCUAAUCUGUUUAUCAUUUUAUUAGAGUUACUAUCCUUUUUCAUAUGCAAUAAUCUUGAAGAUGUCUCCAUUAUGCUUAUGAGUUUACUACAUAGUAGAAUUACUUUAGGUUGGUUAGGCAUCAAAUUUGUAUUUGGACAGCUUUGUCUUGUAUUCGUGAUAAUUUUGUCUUGUUGGAUGCUGUAGAGAUUGUGCAAGGAUAGACCACCCGCUGGGCGUGGGGAGAGAGAAAAAAAUCAGUUCACCUAAAAUAAUUAUCAUCACUAUGUCAGAACAGAUAUGCCUGCAGUAUGGGAUCUGGUCAGGAAUUUGGGCAUGAGCUACCACAGAUACAUAUUACUGGUGCAACUGAUCAUGGAAUGCCGGCCAUCUCCAUCUCCCAACUCUCCAAGAGAUCAAUUGAAGGUACGAGUUCAUUCUCCAUCUUUCCAGGUUCGAAGGGAUAAUUUUCAUGGCAAUGGUUUCAUGCUCCCGCAAGACAGUAAACUUGAGUCUGGUACUUUUGACAGUAAACUUGAGGCUGGGACCUCUGGGGCGUUGCCUUUGGAAGUUACCUCCAAGGACCAUGCUAGCAGAUCAGAAUCUGCUUCCAGCAAUCAAGUUUUUGGACCUGUGAGUAUUGUUUCUAUUCUCUGAAACACUACGACAGGUUCCAACCGAAUGAGGUAGGUAUGGCAUAUUAUUUUCAUUGCCAGCACUAACAAUAAUUGUAUGACAGAAGUGAUGUUUAAUUUAGUGGACAUUUCCAUGCAUGUUACAACAAUUAGAUGUUUUACUCUCCGUUAGUUUAGUGUUUCUGCAAAGUUAUUUAGAUGGUUGUGAUGUUCACUGUUGGGCAUUAAGGCCAGUCUCAAUGUGAUUUCAUCAGAGUUUCAUGGGCAUUAAAUAUGCUGAUGUGGCACUGUAUUAAUGAAGUGAGAGAUGACAAGAGUUUCAUAGGAGCAGAGAGAGUUUCAUCCCCAUGAAACUCUUCCGCACUGUUUCCAAAAUCAGAUGUGUUGCAAAGUGGGACAUGAAACUCCCCAUUGAGACUGGCCUAAUACAUGGAGUAAAUUGUAUCGUAACCCCCUAAAACUUUUGAGUAUAUCUUACUGGGGUCCUUGGUCUUGACUCUUGAGAACCACAAAUGCAUACCCACUAACCUUAUAUAAUUGAGGACAGGGGAGGUUCAAUCCUUUGUGAUUGAUAAUUACUAACAAUGGGAGACCAUUCAAGUUGCCGUUGGUCACACUAUUAUUACCAUGUAAAUCAACAAAGAAUUGAUGUCCUUGGAUUUCGAUGUCUUUUCAAAUUUGUUAAUGCAGAUUUUACUAACUUACCAUUUUAAGCUUACUGAUGUAUAUACGUCUAGAUAUGUUUGGGGCUAUUAAUGUGCAUAUUCUCAAACCUAUGGGAUAUGGACCUACCCACACUUAUUUUUGAUUUACUCUAGCCACACUUGUUUUCAAGGCAGAAAACAUGCUAGUUCAGCUUAAAAAUGCACUCCUUUUCCCUCGUACCAUCCAUCUUGUAGGUUUUGUACUCAGUUUACAGAGUUUACAAUGUCUGACCCCGCACUGUACAAUUUUACAGGAUUGCGGAAUCAUAUCUCCUCAAGGACAACAUGGACUUCCCACCAUAUCCAGUUGAAUGUUGGUGGUGAUACACUGUAUGAACUGGGAGGUAACAGGCAACGCCGCACUAAACCACUAAGAGAAAAAUACCAAUGAAUGGUGUGUGCUUACUGCAGCAAUGGCAUGGAGUUGCUUCGUCGAAUUAGACACCAUGUUGUACAUCCUGCCACUUCCUUCCUGUACUCCAGUUGUCAGAUUCACCAGGUCGCUGCAAUCAGCCUAUGCUUCUUUCAUGUGCGAAAGGAGAAAAAAAGGGGGCCAACAAGAAAAGGAAGAAAGGAAGAAAGAUGGGGUGCUUGGACUUGAUGUGUAGAUACUUUUUACUGGUCAUGGCAGGGAAGAGAUAUGUUGGAGCGCUUGUUGGUUGUGUUGUUUUGAGCUAGGGAUGAGGGGAGCUGGAGCUUGCUAUGCCCAUGUGUAAAAUGUAAUGAGAAUAGUGUUGUAACCUCUGCUUGCAUUUGGAUGGAGGUCUUGUGUUGAAAAGCCCUGCUGUUUGAAGUAACUUUAGGUGUUUUAAAAAUGGCUAGGUAGACAGAAUAUAUUGGAUUAAUAGUGAAAAUUGAAGUAUUUAGUCUUUGCCAUAAGAAAAAUGGCUAGGUGGAGAGAAUGUUCACAUUCCAGUAAUCUAUGGAAUCUGUUUCAAUUUUAUGCUAGGUAAUGGUGUCUUAAGUGAGAAAAAAUUGUUGCUCAAAUCAUCUAAACGCAUAUAUGUGAUAACUAUAUGUAUCAGAAGAUAGAGAAGUAGUAUGCUAGCUAAUCUAUAAAAUUGUUGUUCCCUAGCAGAAAAGAAAGAAAAAAAAGGUUUUCUUCACAAACACAAACAAGGAUUCUGUUUGUCUUGUGAACCUAACAAUAUGUAAGGCAAAGUCCGUACUUCAGUGCACUGCACUGCAAGAUUACAGGUCUGUGCUGCUGAGUUGUUUUAUCUUUGUUUCCACUCGGUGAAAUGCGUGUAUUAGGGAAGGUCUAUGUCCUUUCGAUCAGUCUUGACCUGGUUUGCUUAGCAGCAAAACAGACAUACAAUCCACAGUAGUUUAGGGCAAUAUUUUCAUUUCAUGUCAUUUUCAAGACCCCAAUAAUUAUGUUUAUUCAUUCUCUAUAUGAGAUAUCACAUUAUAGCAAACAAUAAUUAUUUCUACUCAGAUUGAAGCCAUGCUAACCCGUGGUAUGUAUGUACUUCAAUUAUGCUCACUUCUGUAAUUUUGAUGUGGGACUGAGUCAUGUUCAAUGGUUCAUUUGGUUUACAUACCGCAGUGGAAGAAAAAUAAUCAACCAGACCAAUAUACAUUGUUGGCGUAAAUAGUAGUUUGUAAGAGGGCUUAUAUGUAAUAUUGAGAAGAAAAGGAUAAACAGACUCUAGUCUAGGAGUGAGCCAGCCAGAAAACUUCCCUCAAAUUUCAAUAUGCUAUCCAGAGCUAGGGUUAGGUUUACCUCAGGUGGUGGCACGGGCGAGUUGCUGUGACGGUGCGCCGGCAGGGGCUGCGCGGCCAGGCGAAGUGGAGGUGUGGUCGCGCGGGCCUGGCUCGGUGUGUGCAGGCGUGAACAGGAGCGAUGCGCGGGCAUAAGGACGUGCGUGCGGACCAGGUGGCACGUGUGUACGGGCGCGAGCUGCAAGUGCAGGCUGGGGCGCGAGGCUUGUGCUCGGCUGCUCGUGCAGGUGUGGGCGGCAGGCUUGUGCUCAGGCUAUGCGUGGCUGUGGUCAAGAGCAGAGAAAGAGGAGGCUAACAGGCUCCUGGUGUCUGC
rnacentral:lncRNA from 1 species